rnacentral:lncRNA from 1 species
AAGAAUACUUCUAUUACAAUUAAUUUGUUGAUUCUAAUUUGGACUUGUAGGAACAGACCAAACAUGUUCAUGCGUGGCAUUGCUCAAGUCAUCAUCAUUCGAGACAGAGAAUAAGCCUUCAAGUGUCUGCUGAGUCAAUGAACCUUUCUAGAUAUCUCAAGUGUAAUGGAAAUUGAUGAGUUACAAAGGAUUUGUAAACAUUUUCUACUGGAGGCUAGAAAUGCUUCAAAUAAAUGACCGUGUUGCAAUUAUUUUGUAGGAUCAAAGACUCUGCAAAGAGGUAAGAAAGUCAUCAUCAAGUAACUUUGCUCUUCAAACUUUUUAUUUUUAUUUUUAAAUAUCAGUAAUAACUGGGAAAGCUUGCAUCUCCUUAAAUUGCUCAUUCUUACAUCUUUUAUAGUUUGUUGAUCUUGGGCAAGUGGAGAGAGAGGCGUCAAGUGAUACGCAACAACCAUUUUCUGUGAGCUGAUUUGAUAAAGAGAAAUGGUAUGCUUUCUUGUCUUAAGCGGUGUGUUCUGCAAUUAUUUGAAACAAAGGAUGCCGCACUUCAAGUUCGAGAAAAUCAGGUAUUUUAGUAUUUUAUUCUUGAGAAAUUUGAUUUAUGUAGAAACUUGAACAUGUAAAUAAAAUAAAUAAAAUAUAUUAUAUGCUGUUAAUGAGUUAAUAUGGUGCUUGCUUCUAGUUGGAAAUUUAUGUAGUCAUCUACCUAUGAUCAAAUAAAGAUGAAGAAUAAAAUAUAAUUGAGAGCAUCUUCCUCUCCCCUGCUUUGCUCAUCCCUUGUUCUUCCACUUCAGCCCCACUAUUACACCAUUUUUUCAGCCACAAUUAUAAUAGCUCCAUGAGCAUUAAGUCCUUUUCAAAUUCUGCUGACAUUCAAAAUUGGAAUUUGCUGGUGAUAUAUGAUAGCAUCUUUGUCCGACCAAAAAGAGAAAAAAAAAAAGUUGAUAGCAUAUUGUACCAUUUUGGCCAGUGUACGCAAUAUUAUUGCAUCCAACUUUGCAUAUUAACAUCAGUGGCCACAGUUCCAUGAUUUGAGUGCACAGAAAAGUUUCAAAAGUUGUCCCACAAAGAACAGUCGUUCAAAGUGAAAGAGAGAUUUCAAAGCUUAAUUACAAGUUCAUGUUAUUUACAAUAUCAAAAAGCUUUCAUACUUGCUUACAAACCUGUAUUUCCAAGUUCUGCAAACCUUGGAAUAUCACUUCAUCCAAAUCCCCUUCCAAAGCAGGAAAAAAUGGCAGCAGCUUUGAUUGGAGAGGCUCUCAUCUCUGCUUCUAUCGUGGUGUUGUGUGACAGAGUUACUUCAGCCGAGUUCAUAGACUUAUUUCAGCAGAAGAAACUUGAUGAAACACUCCUCAUGAACCUGAAGACGACACUGUUGAUUUUGUUUGCGGUGCUCAAUGAUUCAGAGGAGAAGCAAAUUGUGAACCCUGAAGCUUUGCGAUGCAAGCUGGAAGGUGAGGAUCAAACCCACAAUAAUUAACCAAAAAGGAUCUUUUUGAUUGUUUGAAAGGAGGGUCUUGAUGAUUUGAAAGGAGAGGGUUGCUUUAUUUCUGUUGGAUGCUUAAUUAAAUCUUAUUUGGAGUUGAACAAGGAUUAGGUUAGCUGUAUAAUUAGUGGUAAACGCCUUUUUCUAAGGGUCAUUUAGACUCCUAUUACGAUUAAUUUGUUGUUUCUAAUUUGGACUUGUAGGAACAGACCAAAUAUGUUCACACGUGGCAUCGCUCAAGUCAUCAUCAUUUCAGACUGAAAAUCAGCCUUCGAGUGUCUGUUGAGUCAAUAAACCUUUCUAGAUAUAUCAAGUGCAAUGGAAAUUCAUGAGUUACAUAGAGAUUUUUAAACAUUUUGAAGAUUGCAACACCUGCAAGUGAGAUAGGCGGUGACGAAAUCAGAGCUGAUUUUGAAGCCUCUGAUGCCCCUGUUGUUGCAAGUUGCACCUGAGAACAAGUUUUUUUUUUCUUUGGGGUAAAAAACUGGCAACAUGUUCGGAGCUGACAAUUCAAUCCCUGAUGAACUAGAGAAGCAAAGCUCCGGUAAGGAAAUUGGUCAAGGUUGUGACAGGGAUGAUUGAUGGUGAAAUGGAUGCUAUUUCUUAUUGCAGCCUGUUCUCAAAGUUCUUGUUGGCAAAUGCAAUUGAUGGAGUAUUUUGAUUGGGAGGAGAGAUAAUGACAUGGCUUGACAAUUCUAGAACAGCCCAUCAUUAAUCCCAGAAAAAAUCCCGUUUCUGCUAAACAAUCACUUAUGGCAAGGCCAACUCUGUAAAUGGAAUUUGUGAUCCCUUCAAAUUGUACACAUUUUUUCUUUUUGAGGAAUUUAAUCAAACAGUAUUCUAAUGCAUUAUGAUAGCACUACACGCUUUUGUUGUAACAAAUUACAAGGAGGAAUUUGGAUUGAGUUUCUUGUAUAAGCACACCUUACACAAAUUUCGUAUAUUUUCUUCCAGCAAGUCUGUUUAUUAACCCCCUUAUCUGAAAUUAAUUGUUAAAAGUUUUGAUUCAUCUUUAAUCAGUGUCUUACCCUUGUUGAAUAACACUCCUCUUUCUAAUUUAUAUUUGAAGUUUGAGCUUUCAAUUUCAAUUGUGGGCUUUGAUUUUUCAGAUUUUGUUUGUCAAUUUCAGUUUGGACAAAGCAUAUAUGCAAACAAAGUAAGCAUUUUAUGUUAUACUUUUGAACUAGGUGUUGAUUUGAUUUAAUCAUAAGUUUUGCUGGUGCAUUUACUAGGCUAAUCAUUCAAUACUUUUGAUCAUAGAACUUCUUUGGUUGAUAUUAUCUUUGUUAAGUUUAACCAUAACUUUAGAGAGGGGACUUCAACAGAUUUAUAAUCUCAUCAUUAUAGUAUUAAAAAUUAGAGAUUAUUUAAGGCAUUGUCUAUUAUCUGAAUUCUGCUUACUUUUAGUUCAUAUGUUUACAUCUUAGCAUAUUCAUGUGAUUAGUGCGGCUCAUACCACAAAGGCAAUUUUAGGCUCAUCAAGUGCUAAGCAAUGUCAAGCUUCCAAAUGACAAGUUCUCUACAUAGUUUGAGACCUACACUUACUAGAUAUUAGAUCAUUUCGAUCAUUUCCAUAUGUUUAUAUGUAAUUGACAUGUUAUAACAUUUUUGUAGCGUUAUAUAAUUAUUUAGCAAUUUAAUUAUUUCUUUGCAACUUAAUUUUUUUUGUCAAUCAUACUAUUGUUGACUGCUAAAAACCAUCAAGAAAUAGUUCUCAAGUUAUAAAAAAAAAAAAAUUUUAAAAAAGAUUUGUUGAUGCUUAAAAAGCAUCAAGAACAGAUAGUUUCUUGACGGUUUUGUGACAUUUCAUAACUGUAGGGGGCUUUUUCUUCCGACAGCUGUAAAUGGGCUGGGCUGCCGUAAAGGGCAGACUGAUGAAAUUGUCCCCUUUUGUAUGAGCUCAAAAAUUAAGCCCCAAAAUACUUUGAAAGGGCAGCAGAGCCUUAGGAAGUAUUUUGGUUACCCUCACCAACUAAAACAACAACAACUUACAGGUAAUUACUUAAUGCUUAUGGAUGAACUCUUGAGCUUGGCAUGAGAGACAUAUGGCAUGGAAGCAAAAUCAACAUGAGUUUAGCACUGAGGGGAAAUUUAGGCUCUCUUGGGGGAAAAAGGGAAGUGUUAAGGUGAGAGAGGAGAAGUUUGUAGGAGAUUUAGCUAAGAAAGGAGAAAUAUAGAACAAUGCUCUUUUGGCAGCUUGACAGAUGCUCUGUUUGCCAGAAAAGGAAGAUGGAGAAGAAAUGUGAAUAGUGCAAGAGUUUGCUAGAUUUUUGCAGGUAAGAGAGGAAGCUUGCUCUCUGGGUCUGAGUUGAGUUUUUUUGUGUGGAAGAGACCUCAUUUUAUAGCCCUUGGAAACCAUCACUUCCCAAGAAACCCUAAUGGCUUCUACCCAUUUUGGCCAAGCUUUUCCCUUCCUUUCUCAUUUCCUUCCUUGACUUUACCCCUCUUGAUGAAAUCCCCUCUGCCUAUUUGCACCAUAUCAGAGUUUUUUGAAGCUCAAGGCCCCUUUUUCCCGCAGUUGUCUCAAUGGGAGACUUCCAUUCCCAGUCAUCUCCUUUAUUGCUUUCCUUUCUUUUUUUCAUGGCCAAGUUUGGUGGGGAAAGGAGUUGGGAUAUAUAUGCUGGUUUGAAGGGUGCUUCUCUUCCUGGCAUCUUACACACUAAUACCCCUUGGUUCCUUGAAUGUUUUGGCUUUGAAACUUGCUCUCCCCCCCCCCCCCCCCCCCCCCAUGUACUGGAACCUACCAGCAGCUCUAUUCAAUGAAUCUUCAGACCUUCUCUUCGUGGCUUUUAUUUUUUAUCAACGGGCUGGGGCUUUUGUGGCUCAUUGUGGCAAUUGUAUGGGCUAAGGUGGUUCAUUAAGUAAGUGGGCUAUUUUUAUUAAACAUUAGGCUUUUUGGUUGAGUCACUAGGCUAUUUUGAUUGGGCUAUUGGGCUAUUUUUUUCCUCUCUUGUGCUCACCCACAUGUUUGGACCAAAGAAAUGAGCUUGAGUCCUGAGGCUCCCAAGCGACCCGAGACUUUCCAUUUCUGGCCCAUCAAUGGGCCUCAUGUUGAUUUAUUACCAUCCAUACCACAACCCACUCAAGCAGGCUCCGGGCAUUUGAAUGACUUGGGCGCACUUAGGCUUGUAGUGUGGUUGGGUGCGAAAUAACGAUUUCGUGCUUGGCAUGUUUUAAUUUUAUCAUCCUUGGGAAAGGCUGCGAUGUUUGAUUUCGGCAUGGGCUUGUAGAGCUGGUAUGCUUUAUUUCAACUCCUAGCAUGACGAAUUAUUUAUUUAGCAUGGCACGUGAAUUACAACUCGCAUGUGGUGGGUUUUUGUGUACUACACCUUACGCCUCUUCUUAAUAGAACAUCGUUUUGGGCUGAUAAUUUAUUCGGGCCAAACCGUGAAUUUUUUGGGUCUCAAUAAUAACCAUCAUGAAACAUUACAUUUUGACUGACGUCAAGAAAUGGGGUAUCCCUUUCCUGAUAGUGGCAUCCAUGAUGCCUUCCAAGCAGUCAAUUAAGGGCUAUCGUGAUGCAUUUUAGUUGUCAGCAAAAGGUGUUUUUCUUGUACUGUAUUCACUCAAAGUCGUGUUUCAUUUAAGAUUAGUAGUAUGGUUGAAUACCAUUUGUUUUGUUAAAGAAUAUUAUACAUUAGGGAUUUUUGUAGAAAUGUCAUUUGAACUUAUACCUUAGUUUCAAUUUGUCACCUUGAAGAAAAAUUUAAGAGAAAUGUCACCUUAAUUUUUAAAAAUCCAUGAUUUGUCAUAUGACUUUAAAAUCAUCCAAUUUUCCAUCCAUUUUAAGGGUAUUUUAGUCUUUUCAUUUUGAAGGAAAAAAAAGAGAUGAAAAAAGAGACCUCUCUCUUACUUUGUCCCUCAACCCAACCCCACCCGCCCCCCAAAACACAUCACAUAGGAUUGCCUCCCCCUUCCCCACUUUUCUUUUUUCUUUUUGUCCUACUUUUCCACUAUGUUUAUGUUGAAGGAUCUAAAGUUUGCUUGGUCACCAUCUGUUACGUAGGCUUCCCAAUUGUUAGUUUGGGUGGGUUGUGGGAAUUUGUGUGCUCGAAACCCGAGACGAAUCUUGUGGAAUUCCCGACAUCACACCGAUGCCGGGCCCACUUCUGAACUAAAUUCUCUUUUCCAAAAUUAAGGAAAAAGAGUACGAGGCUUUCUGCCGAAAUUUCGACAGAGUAUUCCCUAUAAAUUUAACAUUUCAGCUUUGGUGGCCGUUCUCUCAUUUCAGCUUUGGUGGCCGGAUGAGAGAACGGUCGGCUAAAACGUGGCCAGCUGGCACUGCCGUCGCGAGAGAGAGAGAGAGAGAGAGAGAGAGAGAUUUUUAUCAAAUCAUUUUUGCCAAAAUUACGAUUAUGCAACUGAGGGUAUUUUGAUCGUAUCUUUUUCAUUAUAACUCUGAUUCAAGCCCACUACGUGUUUACGGACUCAUCUCGCCGUGCUCUAUGCAAUUGUAUAGUUGAAAUUCCCAAAUUCCACCCCAGUCAAAAAUUCAACUUUAAACCCUACAAAAUAUUAUAGGGGCAAAAUGGUCUUUUAUCUAAUUAAAUUAAUAAUUGAAAAUUUAUUUAGGACCGGGUUGUUACACUGUCGUUGAUGGACUGUGCGAUGACACUCACACAAAGUCCUUGAGAAUAAAACACACACACACCAUGAAGAGAGUAAAACAAAUACACAAGUACACAAAGAUUUAUAAAGGUUUGGCCUUCUGCCUACGUCCUCUUGGUGAUCCACCCGAGAAAUUCACUAGUACGUAAGAACAACUUUGGUUACAACUAAACCCCCUUAGCUUUCAUAAGAACCCUAGAUCUCUUUUCUCCCACCCUUGCUCCAACCCUUUGAUGCCCUUGUAAACACUCAAGAAUUCACCCUUGAAUUCUGUCAUGUGUUACAUCUUCUCUUCUCCCCUUUGUUAACCUAACCCUAAAAGUUAUAUUUAUAAUUCAUAGGACUUUAAGUACAAGUUAACUAGGAAUAGGAAACAUAAUAGACCUCAAAAAUUGGAGAAAAUAUGUUUAGAUCUCGUUAGGAAAUUGCACAACACGUGCGAUCCGCUCGAGCGCCUGCAAAAUGAUCCCUUUGUCGCUCAAGCUGCCGAUAGCUCAUGGGAUGGGGGAAUUAGAGAUUUUUUUUUUUUUCAAUUUUAAUUGUUUAAAAGAUAUACAAUUUUUUAAUAAUAAUUUUUCCAUUUUUAAAAUACCCUUGAAAAUAGAAAGAUUAAAAUGCCCUUAAAAAUGGAUGGAAAAUUGGAUUGCGUUAAGGUCAGUUGACAAAUCAUGGAUUUUGAAAAAUUAAGGUAACAUUUCUCUUAAAUUUUUCUUUAAAGUGACAAAUUAAAAUUGAGGUAUAAGUUCAAGUUACAUUUAUGCAAAAAUCCUUAUACAUUAUGAUAUUCUAACAAUAAAAUUGGCUAAAAUUGAUAUGUUCCCUCUUUAUUUUCUUUUUCUCUUUUCCUUUUCAUUUUAUGAUCCAAUCCUUUUCAUAUAUUUUUGUUCAAGACUUUGUUUUAGAAUGCUCUAUUACUAAUUUGGUACAGGUCCCUAAAAUCUCGGAGCCGCCUUAGUACAUUCAUAAUGUACAUGUUCAGAGUUCAAGAAUAAUGUAUAGAAUGUGAAAUUGACGAUGCCGGCCUUUAUGAGGCAACGUCUUUAUUUCUUUGGUUAUUACAGUUUAGAAUAUUUGCACAAAUGAGAUGAUUCCAAGCAUAAAGUCACAUUCGACCAAAAAGCAUGAAGUCACACACAAAAAGAACACGGACAAUUGCUAAGUUUAUCCUUGUACCCUUAUUUUAUUGAUCCGACCCAAUUGAAAAUUAAAAAAAGAUGAUAAAAAAUAUUGUUCACUACUUUAAAAUCUAUGAGUAGAGUCCUCCAUUUGAAAUUUCGUCAUUAUACAAAAUUGGAAUGAAAAAAGAAAAUCCUACAGCUAAAUUUGAUAUAUUUCCUUUUCAUUUUAUGCUGGGUGUUAGGGCUUGUCAAUGGGCCGGGCUAGGCUAGCCCGGCUCAAAUUUAAUGGGCUUGGGCUAGGCCGGGCCAAGCUUUAAAGAGGAGAGAGAAAAUAUCCGGCCGAGUUUUUUAAGAAAAUUCAAAGCCCAAGCCCGAAUCACUGCUGUCUAGCCCGGCCCAAAUUUAAUGAGCUUGGGCCAGGCCGAGCCAAGCUUUAAAGAGGAGAGAGAAAAUAUCCGGCCGAGUUUUUUAAGAAAAUUCAAAGCCCAAGCCCGAAUCACUGCUGUCAUUUCAUUGAUUUGUGACGAGCACAACCACCAAAUCAGAAUUUACUCACGAAAAUAUCAAGUAUGUCUAGCAAAUUUCAAUUUUGAAUAAUACACAAUUUCAAAAGGAGGACAUGUUGCAAGACAGCAUACCUUCUCUUGGGGUGCUUUUCAUUUUGCAACAUUUCUUUACGUGUAAUUUCCAGAGGAGGGUUUAUCAUUGUAUAUAGCUUUUCGGGUGGUUUGUCUACAAAACAAAUGUCACAAAGAAGGAGGAGAAACGGAAAAGAUUUACUUGGAAUGUCUCAAGUCUCCUUUGAGAUAAAGGCAUCGAAUGCACAACAUUGCUUUUGUGCUAUUUCAUAAUUAAAGUGUGCUUCCCAAGUCUCCUUUGUGUUUUGUAACUUGUAAUGUUUGUUUUUUUGUUUCCCCUGUUUUCCCUCUUAUAAAAGAAAUACAGGUCCAAACCACACGGAUCUACUUGCAUAAUAAUGGACCAAAUUUAUGAUUUUUAGAAAGAACCUUCUGCCGGUGGAAUCUUGGGCUACUGUUGUGGCUCUCCUCUGUGUGCCUCCUUUUUAGAACGGUAAAAUAUUCAAAAUACUAGAAAAUGUUCGUGAUUAAUAUAAAUAUUAAGAAUUGAAAUUAUUAAUUAAAUGAGGAUAAUAUGGUAAAUUCACACUUUUUUAUAUUAAAAAAAUUAAAAUUAAAAGAAAAAUCAGAUAAUUGAUAUUAUUUUUAUGGAACACAGCUACUCAUUAUCUUUUUUAAUUCUAAAAUAAAUUUAAAUUAAAGAAAAAAACCCCUCUCACAGGCACGGAAGCGCGUGCUCAGAGGCUAGUUAAAAAUAAUGAACUUUGCUUCUGAAGACGUCUAUACCAGACCCACUCAACCUGCUUUAUGAUUAUACAAAGAACAAACUCGUCCUUAGACUCAUUUGGUUAAACUUAGAAAAUAAUGAAACAAAAAUAUGCACUCCCACAAGUAACACAGCCAGGAUUGAAAACAACUGGACAAAGAAAGGCAUGUUAAAACAGAAUUUUCAACAACUCAUCACCAUUAGACAAGAAAAAGAAAAAUCAAUACAAAAACAGAAAGAACAGAGAAUAAAUGUGGUGGAAGAAAAACGUUGAAGCCAUUUGUGAAUCCAACAACACUACCACUCUGUUUCUCUCCUUUUGUUCAGGCGGAUCUGCAUAUAUCCUAAGGCGUAUUACGGAAACAACUUCUUGCCGUUAUACUUGAAUGUUGUGGAUGCUUCAACGUUGCCAUCUGGGUGGAGUGGAUUUGUCCAAUUCACCUUCACUAUGGUAUAUACGUCCAAAUUGUUGUUAUUUGAAAGGCUUCUAAAUUUUAACAUUUUGAUUUUUAAAUUUUGUUUAAAUAUUUCGGCCCACUUAGUUCUUCUCAAAAUAUGUCAUCAAUAUCGUUGAAAGGUUGAACUUAGUGAAUUAUUAUAGUGCAGUACUGUAGAAUAGACACAUGAUAUAAUUUGUCCACAUGUUAUAAUAUAAGUAAAUAUUUAUUGAUAUUAUUUCUAAAAAUAAGAAAUAUCAACCAUUAUAUCCUCCCAUAUUAUAAUACAUAUACAAAUUAUACCACAUUAUCAUACUCUAAUACCAUUUUAUAAUUUCUCGUACUUAGAGCGAGUCAAUGACAUUACAUAAUAUAUAAUUGUUCAUAUAAUGGGGCAACUAACGUGAUCAACAAGUUGUGGUGAUUAAUUUAACAUAAUAAAAAAUAUACCAUUUACUUGAGUGAUGUAACAAUUUGUUCUUUUAAAUUGGAUUGCCAUCACUUUAAUAUGAUAUGUUUCUUAUUAUAGUGUCCCAUGUUAAGUGCUUCAGCAUUGUUUGUGGUGUGUACACAAAUUUUCUUAUAAAAUGUUUUAAUGCUUCUCACAUGUAUAUCAGAUAUAGACAGUUGAUGUGACUUAGAAAUCAAAUUGUCAAUAAAGCAAAAAAAUAUAAUUGGUGAUUGAGGUCCAAUUUAAUAGAAAAUAGUCUUAACUUGUAUAUUAGAGGUUUCAGAUUCGAAUCCUCACUGCAUUAUUGUUGUAUACGUACACGAGAAAUCCUCUUCUCCAAUAAUUUAGACUAUCACUUAUACUAAAAAAAUAUAUAUAUAUAAUGACUUUUACGGAUGCAAACAUAAAAUUACACCAAACAAUAAUGGAAUAGAAAGAUGCAAGUUAUUUUUUUUUUUUUUACAUCUAAAGUAUACUUUAUAUAUAUAUUUAUUAUGGGUGUUAUAACCGUUUAAUUUUCAGUUUUUAUUUUCUAUUUAUUGUUUUAAUUUUUAUGGUUUAAUGUGUAUGAAGAUUACAAGUAUUGGAUGUCUACCACUCCUCCUUCACAUCUGAAACAAACCACCAUCUCAUUUCUGUAUUUUCAUACUUUCAUAUAUUUUCUACUUUCCAGAUUAUUAUUUUUGGGCAACGGUUCUGUGACUUGCAGAUUUCUAUCCGAUUGUUAACAUGCUCAUAGCGGACCUUGAGCUUGCGUAUUGGGGAUCGUAUCUUGGAGCCUUAUAGACCUUUAUUACCUGCAUGUAGGGAGGUUAUAAAUGCUUUAGGUCAGCAUCUUUGACGUGCUUUUGCUUUCUUUUUUUUUUUACUUAUUUCUUCGUUUCUUUAUUUUUACUUUACUUUUAAAUUUUUAUUUUAUGUAUUAUUUAUAUUUAAAAGUUUUGAAUAAGAGUUUUACAGAAAAGGAAAAACACAAUUUCAAAUAACACAAAUUUCUCGUUUUUGGUUCUUAAAAUAAAUGAAUUUUUUACUUAUUUGUGAACUGAAAUGCCUCUAAAAAAAUAAUGAUAGUUUGAAGAAUUUGAUAGAAAUUAAAAAAUAUCCUCAAAUUACUUGGAAUUGAAGACCACAUAGGCAAAAACACCAUUUUGGACAAAGGCUGGUGAUAAUAGUCGAUAUCAUCUUUAAGUACUUUAAUAUGAUAUGUUUCUUAUUAUAGUGUCCCAUGUUAAGUGUUUCAGCAUUGUUUGUGGUGUGUACACAAAUUUUCUUAUAAAAUGUUUUAAUGCUUCUCACAUGUAUAUCAGAUAUAGACAGUUGAUGUGACUUAGAAAUCAAAUUGUCAAUAAAGCAAAAAAAUAUAAUUGGUGAUCGAGGUCCAAUUUAAUAGAAAAUAGUCUUAACUUGUAUAUUAGAGGUCUCAUAUUCGAAUCCUCACUGCAUUAUUAUUGUAUGCGUACAUGAGAAAUCCUCUUUCCUAAUAAUUUAGACUAUCACUUAUACUAAAAUAUAUAUAUAAUGACUUUUACGAAUGCAAACAUAAAAUUACACCAAACAAUAAUGGAAUAGAAAGAUGGAAGUUUUUUUUUUUUUUCCUACGUCUAAAGUAUACUUUAUACAGUCCCGAUCUCUUGGACCACAGGAGUCCAAGAGAUUGUGGUCACCCACCGUUGGAUAUUAAUCCAAUGGUUCAAAAUGAUAUAUAUAAAUGCAAUAUGACAUAAAUGAUUAUUACCCGAUCCAAGUCAACCGUUGAAUUUACAUUCAACGGUGGGUGACCAUAAAUCUCUUGGACUACAGGGGUCCAAGAGAUCAGGACUGAUACUUUAUAUAUAUAUAUAUAUAUAUUUAUUUAUUAUGGGAGUUAUAACUGUUUAGUUUUCAGUUUUUAUUUUCUAUUUAUUGUUUUAAUUUUUAUGGUUUAAUGUGUAUGGAGAUUACAAAUAUUGGAUGUCUAUAAAGGGCCACUCCUCCUUCACAUCUGAAACAAACUACCAUCUCAUUUCUGUAUUUUCAUACUUUCAUAUAUUUUCUACUGUCCAGAUUAUUAUUUUUGGGCAACGGUUCUGUGACUUGGAGAUUUCUAUCCGAUUGUUAACAUGCUCAUAGCGGACCUUGAGCUUGCGUAUUAGGGAUCGUAUCUUGGAGCCUUGUAGACCUUUAUUACCUGCAUGUAGGGAGGGUACAAAUGCUUUAGGUCAGCGUCUUCGACGUACUUUUGCUUUCUUAUUUCUUCGUUUCUUUAUUUUUGCUUUACUUUUAAAUCUUUAUUUUAUGUAUUAUUUAUAUUUAAAAGUUUGAAUAAGAGUUUUACAGAAAAGGAAAAAUACAAUUUCAAAUAACACAAAUUUCUCGUUUUUUGUUCUUAAAAAAGAAGAAGCAUUGAUUGGGGAGUUAUGGUAAACUCAAUUUCAAUGGUUGCGAUGAGAGGCGGUGGCGGCGAGGAGAGGACGAAGGCUUUGCUGCCGACGGGGUGGUGUGGGUGGGUGGAGACCUCGGCUGGCUGCUUGGUCCUGGGUUCUCCUUUAAUUCUCUGUUUUCUUUUUUCUUUUUCUUUUUCUCUUAGAGUUAUUGAUGUUAAGUGAAUGGACAGAUGCCAAAAUAGGGACAGAAGUAGGGGUGGGCAUCAAUCCGGCCGAUCCGGUCAAUCCGGCCGAACCGAUUAUAUUGGAUUGGUUUGGUUUGGUUUUGACCAAAGAAAAAGUCAACAUUUUGAAAAACCGAACCGAACCGGUUUGGUUUGGUUCAGCUGUGGUUUGAGAGUUUUAAAAACUGUCCUAAACCGAACCGGACCGAUUAUAAAUCAAUUUAUUAUUUAUUUAAUUUAGUUUACAUGUGGCAAGGUUUGUGUGCGUUUUGUGAGUCCGCGUAUCUGAAUGUUGGUGCACGUUUUGAUCUUCUAAUUUGCAUAUCCCAGUUAUUUGUGUGUGCUUGUAUUUCCCUCUCUUUCUAUCUCUACUAUGUGUGUUUGCUCUUUGUGUUGUGUGGCUCUUCUUACUCUAUCUAUCUUAAUUAAUGGGUCCAUUUCAUAAUUUCAUACGCAUUCAAACUCCACCUCUGUGAUAAAAACAUUUACCUCUUUGUGAUAAAAGCUUUUCAUUUGUUUGUAUUUCUCUUUGGCUUUUUGACUCACUCACUGUCUUUCUUUCUUUUAAUGCUACUUGUGAUGAAUGCAAUGAGUAAAUUUAAUGCUACUUGGUUAAUGCAAAUUUUGUAUAUGUUUGUUUUGAUGGAAAUUGUGAACUUAGAUGCAUGCUAGACAUUGGACAACCUUUGAAUAAAUGGAAUGAUGUUGUAUUAGCCUUUGAUGGAAUGAAAUGAAAUGAUAUAAUGGCAAAAUGUUAGCAUUAUAAUGUAAGAGCAGGUUGAAAAAUGCAUGGUUUUGUGUUAGGCACAAACCGGCCGAACCAAUCCGAACCAAACCGAUUACAAGUGGUUUGGAUUGGUUCGGUUUCCAUUAUGAUUUUAGGCUAAUCCGAACCAAACCGGACCGUUAUUUUCUUAUUGGUUCAGCUGUGGUUUGAGAGUAAAACCGAACCAAUCCGGACCGUGCCCACCCCUAGACAGAAGAUGUGAACCCAAUUAUAUACAGCUGAUUACAUAAAGUAACAAAUUAAUUAAUACUUGAGUGGAGGACAGGCUUGAGUGGAAGAAUUGAUUAAGGCUUGAGUGGAAGACCAACUUCAGUGGAGGAAAGUAUAGAUAAGGAAAGCAUGCCUCGUUUAACGGCUUUAUCUAAUAAAGAUUAGUUGUUGGCACUUGGAGUUUCUUAGGAAUGCUGGUUUUGUUUCCUUGGUGGACUUGAAAGGUGGUGCGUUGGCUCGGACAUCUCCCUAGUAAUUAAUCGAAGGUGGAAUCUUACAAGACAUACAGCUGCUCAUUAGCUGAAUAUCUCGCUCUCUUUAAAGAGAUCGAAGCAAACUGCAAUUUGCAAUUUGUGUGAUUCAAGCAUGAAUAUCUGAUAUAGUAACUAUACCAUUUGUUGGUUUGAUAAGAAAAGUUUGGUUAGCGAGGAUGAAACCAUAAAGUUCUCCAAAACACACAAAAAACACGAACAAUUGCUAAGUUUAUUCUUGAGUUCACACAUAUUUGUACAAAUGAGAUUACUCCAAGCAUGACUAUACCAUUUGUUGGUUUGAUAUGAAAAGUACGGGCAACGAGGAUAAAACCAUACAAACACACACAAAGAACGUGGACAAUAUACUAAGUUUAUCUUUGCGUUAUUGAUCCGACCUAACUGUAAAAUAAAAAAGAUAAAAAUAUAUAAUGUUCACUACUUAGAUCUAUGAGCACUAAAGUCCUCCUUUUGAAAUUGCACAAAACAUCACUUUUGGUCUUUGGUAAAUUUUUAAAAUAAAUGAAUUUUUUACUUAUUUGUGAACUGAAAUGCCUCUAAAAAAAUAAUGAUAGUUUGAAGAAUUUGAUAGAAAUAAAAAAAUAUCCUCAAAUUACUUGGAAUUGAAGACCACAUAGGCAAAAACACCAAAUUGCAACCUCACUUUAAUGAUAAAAAUGGUAAACUACAAAGACAAAAAUGACGUUUUGCCUUAUACAUAAUUGGAAUUUGCUGGUGAUAAUAGUCUACCAUCUUUUGUCGAUUUGCUGGUGAUAAUAGUCUAUCAUCUUUUGUCGGUCCGACCUAAAAAGAAGAAAAAGUUGAUGGCAUCUUGUACCAUUUUUGCCAAUGUGGGCCCAAACAAUUUGAAGAAGUCCACCGGCAAUUUCUCAAAAGCUAUUGUGUGAGUGUGAAGCUAAACCAAUAUUAUUUUGCAUAUACGACUCCACAUCCCCAUGUGAUGUGAGGCUACAAAAGUGUUUCCAAAACGAAAUAUGAUAUUUCAAAACGAAGCUAUGUAUAGAGUCAUUUGUAUUUGCUUUCACAAUAACAUUUGAUUUGUGAAAGCAUUUUAUAUUUAUACAUUCUGAUAUUCUAACAAAUAAAUUGACUAAAUUUGGCCAACAGGAUUUAGCCGAAUAGAAAAGUCCUUAUUUAUAGACUAGUGGUUUCAAAUUUAAAGUUUAGACUAUCGCAUGUAUUUAAAAAAAAAAAAACAAUUGGCUUAAUUUGAUAUAUUUCCUUUUUUUCCUUUUUCAUUUUAUACUGGGUGCCGUUAUUAAGUUUUAUCCUUAUUUUUUGUUGAAAAGAAAAUUGAAAAAAAAUAAUAAUUCCUACAGCUAGCAACUUCUCCACCUUCCCUUCUUCGCAACUAGGGAUGCCAUUGCAAGGUCACCAUCUCAGAUUAAGUCCUCCUUUUAAAAUUGUGUCGUUAUUCAGAAUUGGAAUAUAAUCCUGUACCACUUUGGCCACUUUUGAAGAUGUUCACCGACAAUUUCUCAAAAGCUAUUAAGCUGUACAUCCACAAUAUUAUUGCAUCCAUCCCCAUGUGAGGCUACAGAAAAAUUUUGAAAACGAAACUGGAUAUUUUAUCUCUAACAACAGCUUUCAUACUUCGUUUACCCUGUGUUUCCAAGUUGUGCUAGCUAUUUGCAAACCUUGGAAUAUUACUUCAUCCAAAUCCCUUGCAGAGAAGAGCAAGAUAUGGCUUUGAUCGGAGAAGCCCUCAUCUCCGCUACCAUCCAGACGUUUUGUGACAAAAUUGCUUCGCCUGAGUUCACCGACUUAUUUCGGCAGAAAAAGCUCGAUGAACAACUCCUCAACAAGCUGAAGACGACGCUGUUGACCUUGUCCGUAGUGCUUAAUGAUGCAGAGGAGAAGCAAAUUAAGGAACCUUUAGUGAGAGACUGGCUUGACAAUCUCAGACAUAAUGUCUUGGCUGCGGAGGACUUACUGGAUGAGAUCGACACUGAAGCUUUGCGAUGCAAGCUGGAAGAAGGUGAAGGUCAAACCCACAAUUUAACCAAGAAGGUACGUGAUUUUUAUCAACGCAUGAAUGUUGAGAUGAAAGAUUUAUUAGAAAGAUUAGAACAAUUUGUACAAGAGAAAAGUGCUCUUGGUUUGAGAGAAGGUGCUGGGAGGAAGGUUUCACAAAGAAGAACAACUUCCUUGGUUCAUGAACCUUGUGUCUAUGGUAGAGAUGAAGUCAAAGAAAAUCUGUUACAAAGAAGAGGAUUUGCCGUCAUCUCUUUCUCAUCUGAGUAUCUCGCGGUGUCCUGCCCUGGAGAAAAGGUAUAAGAAUAAGACGGGACAAGAUUGGGCAAAGAUAUCUCACAUUCCUUGCAUCAAGAUAGGAUACGAACUGAUCAUAUAAUAUGAGCUAUUCCAUAUUUCACUCUCAACCCUCAACUCUCAAAUCAAAGUCAGGUGAGGUAUGUGCCUUCUCUUACUUUAAAAAACUGCUUCUCUUCUUCUAAUUGAAUACAAAAACCAAAACACAUAUUCUCUUUCUCUUCCAAAAACCCAAAUACAUGUUGAACAUUGCCAAAUUUGAUCUCCAAAUUCCUAAUUAUUUCACGCUUUUUGUUAUUUUGUUGCUUAGUAAAUUAUGGUUGCUGGUCACAAAUUAUAGUCUGUUAAUAGGUUCAUGCCAUGAAUUAAUCUUUGGACUUUCCCAGGUACUGCAGGUUUGUUAUUAAUGUUGUGGCCUGAUAUUCGUCGUAUCAAUAGGUUGUCUUACGUUGAGGAGAGAGAUCGAUCAGCAAUUACAAAAUUGUUAGUGAAUUUAGCUUGUUUAUCAUCUCUCUCCUUUUGUUUGUUAAGUUUGGUUGUUCUAGGUUAAACCCUUGUCCCCGCAUUUCACAGCAACUCUAUGUUAUUCCACUCUGUUUAGUUUCAUUUAUGUUGUGAUUCGACUGCUGCUGUAUUUUAGAUUUCGUUCAUGUAAUGCUAGGAUGUUUAAUCUCUUAUCUGUGGUGGUAGUUGAGUAGUCUAGCUAAUCCAAUGAUAACUUGUCCCCUGUUUUGUAUUGUUUUUAUUUCUCUGGUAAUGAAAGCACGUUUCUUAUAAAUAAAUAAAAAAUAUUUCAUUGAUAUUCAUUGCUUAUUUUGAACUGCAGAAGCCUACUUUUGUCAGAGUCAGUAGAUGCCAGAAUGAAGUCAUUGCCUAAACACAUUGGCACCCUCACAGCCUUCGACAUUUUGGGAUAUAUGAUCUUCAAAAUCUUGUGUCAUUUGCCUCCCAACCUGCAAUAUUUUCAUAUUUUAAAUUGUGACAGACUGAGCCCUUUGGUGGGAGAUUACUGGGGUUUGCAAGGACUUGGUGGCAAUAUCUUGUAGACGUUUCUCAAGGAACAGCUGCUCAAUACCACUCUUCACACUCUAUAUAUUAUGGCCUGUCAGUCUAUAAUUCCUGCCAGGAGAGGAACUUGAACGCCUCUCUUCGCUGCAAAGGCUACAUAUUUGUGGGUGUGACAAUAUCCAAUUCCUGCCAGAAGAGUGUUUGCUGCCAUCUCUUUCUUAUCUGUGCAUCAACCAUUGUUUUGCCAUGUAGAAAAGGUAUCUCACAUUCCUUGCGUCAAGAUAGGCGAAGAAGUGAUCAUAAGAUAUGAGCUCUCUCUCCCUCUCGCUCACAUACAAUGUACUUAACACAAACACUCAAUCUGAUUUCUAUUAUUAUUUUGCUCAGUAAAUUUUGUUUAAAUUUGCUUUAUUUCUCAUUGCACUUGUUCUGCUGAUCACAACUUAUAUCCUAUUUAAAUCUCAAAUGCUGAAUAAUGAGCAGUCUUUUCGCAGGACAACAUAUCUUCUCUUGGAGAGCUAUUCAUUUGCAAGGUUUCUUUAUGGGUCAUUUCCAGAGGAGGGUUUACUAUUUAAUAGAAAGGUUCACCUGGAAUAUCUCAACUGACACAUUCCCAAAUACAGGCAUUGAAUGCACAACAUUUUGAGGUACUAUUUUUGUAAUAAAAAUGUACUUGAGUCUCAUUUGAGCUAGUUUAAAUUGUAUUCAAUGUCUAUGGAUAACCUGUGAGCUUAAGUUGUAAGAUAAAACUCACAGUAUAUUAUUAGGGUUUAGGGUUCAACUGUUCAACAGGUGAGCUUAAGUUGUACUUUCCUAGGUACUGCAUGUAUAUAAUCUUAGUAUCAACACUUGGUCUUAUGUGGACAAGAGAGAACAUUUGAGGAAUUACAAAAUCUUCUUAGUGAAUUAAUGUUGUUUCAGCUCUGUUUGUCAUCCCUCACAUUUUCUUUGUUAAGCCUUGAUUUUUUAUUAGACAUAAGAAAAAAUGCUUUUAUAAGACAGGAGAUGAAUGCUUUUAUAUGUUGAUGUCGUAGUCAGUCUUCAACCACACUCUGUUUUUAGAAUUCAUUUAUGUUACUAGUUGAGUGCUGCUGUAUUUUAUAUUUCGUUCCUGUAAUGUUUGGAUGUUUAGCUUGAGCAGUCUAGCUUAUCCAGUAGAUAACUUGUUCCCUGUUUUGUAAUGUUUUUGUUUCCUCUAAUGAAAGCAGGUUUUACUUAUCUUGAACUGCAGAAGCCUACUUUUUGACAUAGGUGGCAUGGCACAAACUCGCAUCCGCAUUUCCUUCCCCAUUGGCAUGCUGUCUCAUCUUUUGUAUUCUGUUACCAGCUUGAAGCUUGUGUAGACAUGUUAUGCUCUUGUAAUUCUGAUCACAAACAUCACUUGACAAAUGGAAAGUCACAAUCAGAUCUUUCAGGUGAUCGGGAGGUUUACUUUCUAACAUUUGUUUUCAUUGGGGGGAGGACAACAAUACAGAAUUUAAAAUUUCUGAUAAUCAAUAGUAGUUUGCAUAUAUCAGCUGGGACCUGUAUGACUGUAUUAUGUAAUUAAUUAUUUCUCUUAUUGUUUUGGUACUGUUAAAAGGAGUUAGCCACAAAAUAAAAAAGGAGGCCUCUUAUUUCAUACAAUUUUUCAAAAGUGAUCAUUCAUCCGUUUCUUUUUCAACAAUAGAGGAAUGUAUACUAAUCGUCUGGUCCAUCUGCUGCUUCACUCCCUAGUAGCUUCAUCUCCUGUCCUUUGCUUUAUUUCUGUUGAUGAAUGUUUUGUCUGGGUUAUUUAUUUUCAUUUCAUGUCCAUUGCUUCAUUUCUGUUUGGAUUCUGUCCUGGACUUGAACAAGGGUUAGGUUAGCUGUAUAAUUUGCGGUUUUAUAUACACAACUGUCUACAUUGAUUAAAACCAGCAUUAUUCUAAGGUUCAUUUAGAAUGUAUUAUCACCAAAAUUAUAAAGUAUACUUCUAUUACAAUUAAUUUGUUGAUUCUAAUUUGGACUUGUAGGAACAGACCAAACAUGUUCAUACGUGGCAUUGCUCAAGUCAUCAUCAUUCGGGACAGAGAAUAAGCCUUCAAAUGUCUGCUGAGUCAAUGAACCUUUCUAGAUAUCUCAAGUGUAGUGGAAAUUGAUGAGUUACAAAGGAUUUUUAAACAUUUUCUACUGGAGGCUAGAAAUGCUUCAAAUAAAUGACUGUGUUGCAAUUAUUUUGUAGGAUCAAAGACUCUGCAAAGAGGUAAGAAAGUCAUCAUCAAGUAACUUUGCUCUUCAAACUUUUUAAUUUUAUUUUUAAAUAUCAGUAAUAACUGGGAAAGUUUGCAUUUCCUUAAAUUGCUCAUUCUUACAUCUUUUAUAGUUUGUUGAUCUUGGGCAAGUGGAGAGAGAGGCGUCAAGUGAUACACAACAACCAUUUUCUGUGAGCUGAUUUGAUAAAGAGAAAUGGUAUGCUUUCUUGUCUUAAGCGGUGUGUUCUGCAAUUAUUUGAAACAAAGGAUGCCGCACUUCAAGUUCGAGAAAAUCAGGUAUUUUAGUAUUUUAUUCUGGAGAAAUUUGAUUUAUGUAGAAACUUGAACAUGUAAAUGAGAGAAAAAAAAAUUUAUAUAUAUAUAUAUUAUAUUGUAUAUGCUCUUAAUGAGUUAAUAUGGUGCUUGCUCCUGGUUGGAAAUUUAUGUAGUCAUCUACCUAUGAUCAAAUAAAGAUGAAAAAUAAAAUAAAAUUGAGAGCAUCUUCCUCUCCCCUGCUUUGCUCAUCCCUUGUUCUUCCACUUCAGCCCCACUAUUACACCAUUUUUUCAGCCACAAUUAUAAUAGCUCCAUGAGCAUUAAGUCCUUUUCAAAUUCUGCUGACAUUCAAAAUUGGAAUUGCUGGUGAUAUAUGAUAGCAUCCUUGUCCGACCAAAAAGAAAAAAAAAAAAAGUUGAUAGCAUAUUGUACCAUUUUGGCCAGUGUACGCAAUAUUAUUGCAUCCAACUUUGCAUAUUAACAUCAGUGGCCACAGUUCCAUGAUUUGAGUGCACAGAAAGGUUUCAAAAGUUGUCCCACAAAGAACAGUCGUUCAAAGUGAAAGAGAGUUUUCAAAGCUUAGUUACAAGUUCAUGUUAUUUACAAUAUCAAAAAGCUUUCAUACUUGCUUACAAACCUGUAUUUCCAAGUUCUGCAAACCUUGGAAUAUCACUUCAUCCAAAUCCCCUUCCAAAGCAGGAAAAAUGGCAGCAGCUUUGAUUGGAGAGGCUCUCAUCUCUGCUUCUAUCGAGUUGUUGUGUGACAGAGUUACUUCAGCCGAGUUCAUAGACUUAUUUCAGCAGAAGAAACUUGAUGAAACACUCCUCAUGAACCUGAAGACGACACUGUUGAUUUUGUUUGCGGUGCUCAAUGAUUCAGAGGAGAAGCAAAUUGUGAACCCUGCUGUGAGAGAGUGGCUUAACAGCUCAAGCAUGCUGUCUUUGAUGCAGAGGACUUACUUGAUGAGAUUGACACUGAAGCUUUGCGAUGCAAGCUGGAAGGUGAGGAUGAAACCCACAAUAAUUAACCAAAAAGGAUCUUUUUGAUUGUUUGAAAGGAGGGUCUUGAUGAUUUGAAAGGAGAGGGUUGCUUUAUUUCUGUUGGAUGCUUAAUUAAAUCUUAUUUGGAGUUGAACAAGGAUUAGGUUAGCUGUAUAAUUAGUGGUAAACGCCUUUUUCUAAGGGUCAUUUAGACUCAUAUUACGAUUAAUUUGUUGUUUCUAAUUUGGACUUGUAGGAACAGACCAAAUAUGUUCACACGUGGCAUCGCUCAAGUCAUCAUCAUUUCAGACUGAAAAUCAGCCUUCAAGUGUCUGUUGAGUCAAUAAAACUUUCUAGAUAUAUCAAGUGCAAUGGAAAUUCAUGAGUUACAUAGAGAUUUGUAAACAUUUUGAAGAUUGCAACACCUGCAAGUGAGAUAGGCGGUGACGAAAUCAGAGAUGAAGCCUCUGAUGCCCCUGUUGUUGCAAGUUGCACCUGAGAACAUGUUUUUUUUUCUUCUUUGGGGUAAAAAACUGGCAACAUGUUCGGAGCUGACAAUUCAAUCCCUGAUGAACUAGAGAAGCAAAGCUCCGGUAAGGAAAUUGGUCAAGGUUGUGACAGGGAUGAUUGAUGGUGAAAUGGAUGCUAUUUCUUAUUGCAGCCUGUUCUUAAAGUUCUUGUUGGCAAAUGCAAGAGAUGGAGUAUUUUGAUUGGGAGGAGAGAUAAUGACAUGGCUUGACAAUUCUAGAACAGCCCAUCAUUAAUCCCAGAAAAAAUCCAGUUUCUGCUAAACAAUCACUUAUGGCAAGGCCAACUCUGUAAAUGGAAUUUGUGAUCCCUUCAAAUUGUACACAUUUUUUCUUUUUGAGGAAUUUAAUCAAACAGUAUUCUAAUGCAUUAUGAUGGCACUACACGCUUUUGUUGUAACAAAUUACAAGGAGGAAUUUGGAUUGAGUUUCUUGUAUAAGCACACCUUACACAAAUUUCGUAUAUUUUCUUCCAGCAAGUCUGUCUAUUAAACCCCUUAUUUGAAAUUAAUUGUUAUAAGUUUUGAUUCAUCUUUAAUCAGUGUCUUCCCCUUGUUGAAUAACACUCCUCUUUCUAAUUUAUAUUUGAAGUUUGAGGUUUCAAUUUCAAUUGUGGGUUUUGAUUUUACAGAUUUUGUUUGUCAAUUUCAGUUUGGACAAAGCAUAUGCAAUCAAAGUAAGCAUUUUAUGUUAUACUUUUGAACUAGGUGUUGAUUUGAUUUAAUCAUAAGUUUUGCUGGUGCAUUUACUAGGCUAAUCAUUCAAUACUUUUGAUCAUAGAACUUCUUUGGUUGAUAUUAUCUUUGUUAAGUUUAACCAUAACUUUAGAGAGGGGACUUAACAGAUUUAUAAUCUCAUCAUUAUAGUAUUAAAAAUUAGAGAUUAUUUAAGGCAUUGUCUAUUAUCUGAAUUCUGCUUACUUUUAGUUCAUAUGUUUACAUCUUAGCAUAUUCAUGUGAUUAGUGCGGCUCAUACCACAAAGGCAAUUUUAGGCUCAUCAAGUGCUAAGCAAUGUCAAGCUUCCAAGUGACAAGUUCUCUACAUAGUUUGAGACCUACACUUACUAGAUAUUAGAUCAUUUGGAUCAUUUCCAUAUGUGUAUAUGUAAUUGACAUGUUAUAACAUUUUUGUAGCGUUAUAUAAUUAUUUAGCAAUUUAAUUAUUUCUUUGCAACUUUAUUUUUUUUGUCAGUCAUACUAUUGUUGACUGCUAAAAACCAUCAAGAAAUAGUUCUUAAGUUAUAAAAAAAAAUUAUAAAAAAAAAGAUUUGUUGAUGCUUAAAAAGCAUCAAGAACAGAUAGUUUCUUGACGGUUUUGUGACGUUUCAUAACUGUAAGGGGCUUUUUCUUUCGACAGCUGUAAAUGGGCUGGGCUGCCGUAAAGGUCAAGACUGAUGAAAUUGUCCCUUUUUGUCUGAGCUCGAAAAUUAUGCCCCAAAAUACUUUGAAAGGGCAGCAGAGCCUUAGGAAGUAUUUUGGUUACCCUCACCAACUAAAACAACAACAACUUACAGGUAAUUUCUUAAUGCUUACAGAUGAACUCUUGUGCUUGGCAUGAGUGACAUGUGGCAUGGAAGCAAAAUCAACAUGAGUUUAGCACUGAGGCGAAAUUUAGGCUCUCUUGGGGGAAAAAGGGAAGUGUUAAGGUGAGAGAGGAGAAGUUUGUAGGAGAUUUAGCUAAGAAAGGAGAAAUAUAGAACAAUGCUCUUCUGGCAACUUGACAGAUGCUCUGUCUGCCAAAAAAGGAAGAUGGAGAAGAAAUGUGAAUAGUGCACGAAUUUGCUAGAUUUUUGCAGGUAAGAGAGGAAGCUUGCCCUAUGGGUCUGAGUUGAGUUUUGUUGGGUGGAAGAGACCUCAUUUUAUAGCCCCUGGAAACCAUCACUUCCCAAGAAACCCUAAUGGCUUCUACCUAUUUUGGCCAAGCUUUUCCCUUCCUUUCUCAUUUCCUUCCUUGAGUUUACCCCUUUUGAUGAAAUCCCAUCUGCCUAUUUGCACCAGAUCAAAGUUUUUUGAAGCUCAAGGCCCCCAUUUUCUUGCAGUUGUCUCAAUGGGAGACUUCCAUUCCCAGUCAUUCUCCUUUAUUGCUUUCCUUUCUUUUUUUCAUGGCCUAGUCUGGUGGGGAAAGGAGUUGGGAUAUAUAUGCUGGUUUGAAGGGUGCUUCUCUUCCUGACAUCUUACACACUAAUACCCCUUGGUUCCUUGAAUGUUUUGGCUUUGAAACUUGCUCCCCCCCUCCCCCCAUGUACUGGAACCUCCCAGCAGCUCUGUUCAAUGAAUUUUCAGACCUUUUCUUCAUGGCUUUUAUUUUUUUAUUAACUGGCUGGAGCUUUUGUGGCUCAUUGUGGCAAUUGUAUGGGCUAAGGUGGUUCAUUAAGUAAGUGAGCUAUUUUUAUUAAACAUUGGGCUUUUUGGUUGAGUCACUAGGCUAUUUUGAUUGGGCUAUUGGGCUAUUUUUUCCUUUCUUGUACUCACCCACAUGUUUGGACCAAAGAAAUGAGCUUGAGUCCUGAGGCUCCCAAGCGACCCGAGACUUUCCAUUUCUCGGCCCAUCAAUGGGCCUCAUGUUGAUUUAUUACCAUCCAUACCACAACCCACUCAAGCAAGCCCCGGGCAUUUGAGUGGCUUGGGCCCACUUAGGCUUGUAGUGUGGUUGGGUGCGAAAUGACGAUUUCGUGCUUGGCAUGUUUUAAUUUUAUCAUCCUUGGGAAAGGCUGCGAUGUUUGAUUUCGGCAUGGGCUUGUAGAGCUGGUAUGCUUUAUUUCAACUCUAGCAUGACGAAUUAUUUAUUUAGCAUGGCACGUGAAUUACAACUCGCAUGGGGUGGGUUUUUGUGUACUACACCUUACGCCUCUUCUUAAUAGAACAUCGUUUUGGGCUGAUAAUUUAUUCGGGCCCAACUGUGAAUUUUUUGGGUCUCAAUAAUAACCAUCAUAAAAUAUUACAUUUUGACUGACGUCAAGAAAUGGGGUAUCCCUUUCCUGAUAGUGGCAUCCAUGAUGCCUUCCAAGCCGUCAAUUAAGGGCUAUCGUGAUGCAUUUUAGUUGUCAGCAAAAGGUGUUUUUCUUGUAUUGUAUUCACUCAAAAUCAUGUUUCAUUUAAGACUAGUAGUAUGGUUGAAUACCAUUUGUUUUGUUAAAGAAUAUUAUACAUUAGGGAUUUUUGUAGAAAUGUCAUUUGAACUUAUACCUUAGUUUCAAUUUGUUACCUUGAAGAAAAAUUUAAGAGAAAUGUCACCUUAAUUUUUAAAAAUCCAUGAUUUGUUAUAUGACUUUAAGAUCAUCCAAUUUUCCAUCCAUUUUAAGGGGAUUUUAGUCUUUUCAUUUUCAAGGAAAAAAAAGAGAUGAAAAAAGAGACAUCUCUCUUACUUUGUUGCCCAACCCAACCCAACCCCACCCGCCCCCCAAAACCACAUAGGAUUGCCUCCCCUUUCCCCACUUUUCUUUUUUCUUUUUGUCCUACUUUUCCACUGUGUUUAUGUUGAAGGAUCUAAAGUUUGCUUGGUCACCAUCUGUUACGUAGGCUUCCCAAUUGUUGGUUUGGGUGGGUUGUGGGAAUUUGUGUGUGGAGGGCAAGACCCUAUCUGACAGGACCUGCCUCGAAUUCCUCGAAACCCGAGACGAAUCUUGUGGAAUUCCCGACAUUACACCGAUGUCGGGCCCACUUAUGAACUAAAUCCUCCUUUCCAAAAUUAAGGAAAAAGAGUACGAGGCUUUCUGCCGAAAUUGCGGCAGUGUCUUCCUUAUAAAUUUAACAUUUCAGCUUUGGUGGCCAUUCUCUCAUUUUAGCUUUGGUGGCCGGAUGAGAGAACGGCCGGCUAAAACGUGGCCAACUGGCAUUGCCGUCGCGAGAGAGGAGAGAGAGAGAGAGAUUUUUAUCAAACCAUUUUUGCCAAAAUUACGAUUAUGCAACUGAGGGUAUUUUGAUCGUAUCUUUUUUGUUAUAACUCCGAUUCAAGCUCACUACAUGCCUAUGGAUUCAUCUCGCCGUGCUUUAUGCAAUUGUAUAGUUGAAAUUCCCAAAUUCCAUCCCAGUCAAAAGUCAACUUUAAACCCUAUAAAAUAUUCUAGGGGAAGAAUGGUCUUUUAUCUAAUUAAAUUAAUAAUUGAAAAUUUAUUUAGGAUCGGGUCGUUACACUGUCGUUGAUGGACUGUGCGAUGACACUCACACAAAGUCCUUGAGAAUAAAACACACACACACCGUGAAGAGAGUAAAACAAAUACACAAGUACACAAAGAUUUAUAAAGGUUUGGCCUCCUGCCUACGUCCUUUUGGUGAUCCACCCGAGAAAUUCACUAGUAUGUAAGAACAACUUUGGUUACAACUAAACCCCCUUAGCUUUCAUAAGAACCCUAGAUCUCUUUUCUCCCACCCUUGCUCCAACCCUUUGAUGCCCUUGUAAACACUCAAGAAUUCACCCUUGAAUUCUGUCAUGUGUUACAUCUUCUCUUCUCCCCUUUGUUAACCUAACCCUAAAAGUUAUAUUUAUAAUUCAUAGGACUUUAAGUACAAGUUAACUAGGAAUAGGAAACAUAAAAGACCCCCAAAAUUGGAGAAAAUAUGUCUAGAUCUCGUUAGGAAAUUGCACAACACGUGCGAUCCGCUCGAGCGCCUGCAAAAUCAUCCCUUUGCCGCUCGAUCUGCCGAUAGCUCAUGGGAUGGGGGAAUUAGAGAUUUUUUUUUUUUCAAUUUUAAUUGUUUAAAAGAUAUACAAUUUUUUAAUAAUAAUUUUUCCAUUUUUAAAAUACCCUUGAAAAUAGAAAGAUUAAAAUGCCCUUAAAAAUGGAUGGAAAAUUGGAUGGUGUUAAGAUCAGAUGACAAAUCAUGGAUUUUGAAAAAUUAAGGUAACAUUUCUCUUAAAUUUUUCUUUAAAGUGACAAAUUGAAAUUGAGGUAUAAGUUCAAGUUACAUUUCUGCAAAAAUCCUUAUACAUUAUGAUAUUCUAACAAUAAAAUUGGCUAAAAUUGAUAUGUUCCCUCUUUUAUUUUCUUUUUCUCUUUUCCUUUUCAUUUUAUGAUCCAAUCCUUUUCAUAUAUUUUUGUUCAAGACUUUGUUUUAGAAUGCUCUAUUACUAAUUUGGUACAGGUCCCUAAAAUCUCAGAGCCGCCUUAGUACAUUCAUAACGUACAUGUUCAGAGUUCAAGAAUAAUGUAUAGAAUGUGAAAUUGACGAUGCCGGCCUUUAUGAGGCAACGUCUUUAUUUCUUUGGUUAUUCCAGUUUAGAAUAUUUGCACAAAUGAGAUGACUCCAAGCAUAAAGUCACAUUCGACCAAAAAGCAUGAAGUCACACACAAAAAGAACACGGACAAUUGCUAAGUUUAUCCUUGUACCCUUAUUAUCCGACCCAAUUGAAAAAUAAAAAAAGAUGAUAAAAAAUAUUGUUCACUGCUUUAAAAUCUAUGAGUAGAGUCCUCCAUUUGAAAUUUCGUCAUUAUACAAAAUUGGAAUGAAAAAAGAAAAUCCUACAGCUAAAUUUGAUAUAUUUCCUUUUCAUUUUAUGCUGGGUGUUAGGGCUCGUCAAUGGGCCGGGCCAGGCUAGCCCGGCCCAAAUUUAAUGGGCUUGGGCCAGGCUGGGCCAGGCUUUAAAGAGGAGAGAGAAAAUAUCAGGCCGAGUUUUUUAAGAAAAUUCAAAGCCCAAGCCCGACCCAUGAGCCCGGCUUGAGAAAGCCCAUCGGGCCGGCCCGGGCCUAAACAGGCCCUACUUCGUUAAAAAAAAAUCAUAAACUUAAUCAUAAGGUCAUUUUAGUCCAAAUUUGAGAUUAAACUCACUUAAUUCCAAUAUUUUCACUUCAAACCAAAUUCAUAAAACACCCAAUAAAGUCACACAGCUUGUAAGAUUUUCCACAAAAAUAAUAAAACCAAGUACUAUUUUUGAGGUUAUUACAUAAUUAGAUCGUAAUAUGUUUUAAGAAAUAAUUUUAAAAAAUAAUAUUAAUAAGUAUCAAAAAAAUAAUUUUUUAAAGGAUGGUAUGAAUAAAUAUGCAAAUAUUUGGUGAUGUGUUCAAGAAAAGGAUGAUUAUAUUUGGUGGUACGAUUAUGUUUCGUGAUAUGAUUAUAAUUAGUGAUGUGAUAUGUUGUUCAUCUUAUAUAUAUAUAUAAUUGUUGAAUUAAUAAUUGACACAAAUUAAUGUGUUAAUCAUCCAAUUAUAAACUAGGAAUGAAUAAAGAAAAGUAAAUGAAAUGAAACAAAUUAUAUAUGUGAUUUAAGUGAUAUAAUCCUAAACCUAAACUCUUAUUUAUACAUAAUUAUAUAUGUAUGCGGGCCUAACGAGCCGGACUUUUGUGGGCGGGUAGGGCCGGGCUUUAUUGGGCUUAAUCGGGCUUUAUUGGACUUAAUCGGGCUGGGCCUAUAGGUCGGACCGAGCUUCAGACAUCCAAGCCCACGCCUAGCCUCGCCCGCCUUGGGCCGGGCCAUUCUUUUUUUGGGGUUCUAUUUCUCUUUGAAUUAACUGCUGAGUUUCAUGAACAUGUCCUCCUUUUGAAAUUGUGUAUUAUUCAAAAUUGGAAUUUGCUGGACAUACUUGAUAUUUUCGUGAGUAAAUUCUGAUUUGGUGGUUGUGCUCGUCACAAAUCAAUGAAAUGACAGCAGUGAUUUUGCAAGACAGCGUACCUUCUCUUGGGGUGCUUUUCAUUUUGCAACAUUUCUUUACGUGUAAUUUCCAGAGGAGGGUUUAUCAUUGUAUACAGCUCUUCGGGUGGUUUUUCUACAAAACAAAUGUCACAAAGAAGGAGGAGAAGCGGAAAAGAUUUACUUGGAAUGUCUCAAGUCUCCUUUGAGAUAAAGGCAUCGAAUGCACAACAUUGUUUUUGUGCUAUUUCAUAAUUAAAGUGUGCUUCCCAAGUCUCCUUUGUGUUUUGUAACUUGUAAUGUUUGUUUUUUUGUUUCCCAUGUUUUGUCUCUUAUAAAAGAAAGGCUUUUUAUCACAAAUGGUCCUUCAGGUUUACAAAAUUAUCACAAAUCGUCCUUCAAGUUUUUUUGUGACACUAAUAGUCCUUCAGGUUAUCAUUUACCCAUCAAAAUGGUCCUUCUGUCAGUUUCUGUCAAAACUGACGUUAAAUUCCUGUGCUCAGCCUGCUUUUGAAAUGAUAAUCUCAUCUUUUCCACUCAACCUUCAACCAAACUCAACUGUCAGAACCCUUUCCCUCCAUUUCCUCAUGGUCCUUCCAGUUUGGCGCCCCUGUAAUAUAUAACCAAUCUUAAAAAUUAAACUUCUGAAGAAAUUGAAACAAUCCAAGCUCAAGAGAAAGACCAACAAUUGAGAACUGCAGAGAAAGAUCAAACUCAUGGAUCAAUAUGGUAAAGCCAAAUUGAAAAACAUAAUUUGCUAAAGAUAAAGCCAAACUGAAAAACCAAACUGAAAAACAUAAAGAUAUCAUUGACAAAUAUAAAAAGUUAAAAAAUAUUGCACAAUCAAAAUACAACCACAUGUUUCACAAAACAAAACAAAACAACCACAUUUGCAGACAAGCUGUAGUUUACACUUUAACAAAGAUUAAAAAACUAACCUGUAUACUUUGGUUGUUUCCCCCCCUUUCGAAAGAACUCCUCGGACUCAUCCAUCUAGUCACUUUUGUAAGAAGAAUAAUGCGUAUUUGACUCUUACGAACCCAGAUAUUCCUUUUGCAGACCAGCUUUAUCAAUUAAAAACCCAAAAAACCUUAAUUGUGCAGGGCCCGAGGAUGAAAUGGAGGGAAAAGGUUAUAUAUGCGGUUUAGAGCGCCAAAAUGGAAGGCCCGAUGAAGAAAUGGAGGGAAAGGGUUAUUUCAGUUGGGUUUGGUCGAAGGUUGAGUGGAAUGAUGCGAUUAUCAUUUCAAAAGGCAGGCUGAGCACGCGACUUUAACGUCAGUUUUGACAGAAACUAACAGAAGGACUAUUUUGAUGGAUAGAUGUUAAACUAAAGGACUAUUAGUGACACAAAAAAACCUAAAGGAUGAUUUGUGAUAAUUUUGUAAACCUGAAGGACCAUUUGUGAUAAAAAGCCUAAAAGAAAUACAGGUCCAAACCACACGGAUCUACUUGCAUAAUAAUGGACCAAAUUUAUGAUUUUUAGAAAGAACCUUCUACUGGUGGAAUCUUGGGCUACUGUUGUGGCUCUCCUCUGUGUGCCUCCUUUUUAGAACGAUAAAAUAUUCAAAAUACCAGAAAAUGUUCAUGAUUAAUGCAAAUAUUAAGAAUUGAAAUUAUUAAUUAAAUGAAGAUAAUAUGGUAAAUUCACACUUUUUCAUAUUAAAAAAAUUAAAAUUAAAAGAAAUAUCAGAUAAUUACUCUUAUUUUUAUGGAACACAGCUACCCAUUAUCUUUUUUAAUUAUAAAAUAAAUUUAAAUUAAAAAAAAAAUCUCUCUCACAGACACGGAAGCGCGUGCUCAGAGGCUAGUUAAAAAUAAUGAACUUUGCUUUUGAAGACGUCUAUACCAGACCCACUCAACCUGCUUUAUGAUUAUGCAAAGAACAAACUCGUCCUUAGACUCAUUUGGUUAAACUUAGAAAAUAAUGAAACAAAAAUAUACACACCCACAAGUAACACAGCCAGGAUUGAAAACAACUGGAAAAAGAAAGGCAUGUCAAAACAAAAUUUUCAACAACUCAUCACCAUUAGACAAGAAAAAGAAAAAUCAAUACAGAAACAGAAAGAACAGAGAAUAAAUGUGGUGGAAGAAAAACGUUGAAGCCAUUUGUGAAUCCAACAACACUACCACUCUGUUUCUCUCCUUUUGUUCAGGCGGAUCUGCAUAUAUCCUAAGGCGUAUUACGGAAACAACUUCUUGCGGUUAUACUUGAAUGUUGUGGAUGCUUCAACGUUGCCAUCUGGGUGGAGUGGAUUUGUCCAAUUCACCUUCACUAUGGUUAAUCAACUAGACAGACAUAAGUCAGAAACAAUAGGUAUAUACGUCCAAAUUGUUGUUAUUUGAAAGGUUCUAAAUUUUAACAUUUUGUUGUAAAUGUGGAGAGAAAAAGUAGAGAAUUGGAAUAGAGAGGAGAGACUGAUUUUCUCAUUCAUAUGUUCAGAUGAAUGUCUUCAGUGUAUAUUUUACAAGUAGGGGGAGGUAUCUAUUUAUAGGCUAAGGUUUUGGUAAAAUACAGGGAAGGAAAGUUCCUGGAAGAUGCAAGGAAACUUCCUCUGUGGGCUCCACCUUCAAACUUUUACAACACUCCCCCUUGGAGACCACAAAUGAUAUGGAAUAUGCCUCGUUAAAAACCUUGCCAGUAAAAACCCAGUGGGACAAAAACUGGUCAAAGGGAAAAAGAGUACAUAAUGAUGUGUAACAUAAAAUUCUGUGUAUAUUGACGCGCGUGCGACACUGCCUCGUUAAAACCUUGCCAGGAAAAACCCAGUGGGAUGAAAACCUGGACGAAGGAAAAAGAGUACAGUGUUUGAAGAUCUUUAUUGAUAGCAUGCUCCCCCUGAUGCUUGGUAAAAUAUCUUUAAGUCAUACUGUUGAUCACCUUUCUGAAUAUCGUAGUUGACACUGCUGCUGUGAGUCAAUCUUGAGCGACACUGCCUCGUUAAAACCUUACCAGGAAAAACCCAGUGGGAUAAAAACCUGGAUGAAGGAAAAAGAGUACAGUGUAUGGAGGUCUUUAUGAAAAACCACGCUCCCCCUGAAAAAUAUCUCCCCCUAAAAAAUUUCAUGACUAGCUUUUCCAGUAUGCGACCAUAGAAAUUUUCAUAGUAUACUCUAAACCCUUGAGCGACACUGCCUCGUUAAAACCUUACCAGGUAAAACCCAAUGGGAUAAAAACCUGGAUGAAGGAAAAAGAGUACAGUGUGGAGCUGACCUCUAUCUGGUCUAGUAUACUUCCGGAAAAACAUUUAAGGUGUCCAACGGAUAAUCCUCAUAAAAAUGCUUCAAUACUUUCUUAGUAUAAGCAAGAAUCUCGUUGGCAUAAUGCUCGAUCUUUAAGUCGAGACAAAUAUUUCGUGACUUCUGCAGAAGCUUUAAUGUGUUGCAAACACAUUAUAAACAAUGUACUCACUGAGGUAAUUUAUGCAUAUUAAUAUUGAGUACAAAUUUUGUGCUUCAAGCACAUGUCCUUUAGGGACUUGCUUUAUGCAAUGUCAAUCCUCUCAACGGAUUUUGUUUAAAAGGGGAUUAAACUUUAUGACACAUUAUAUAGCUUUAACCCAGCUAUUUAUACAUCUUUAGGGAAUCACUUCAAGUGAUAUGCUCUGUGCAUUUAAUAACCCUUAAAGAUAACAUGUUGGUCUCCGUAAUUGUGCAGUAAGGGGGGAGGCACAAUUGAAUCUGUAAAUAUGGAAAAGACCCAACAUUCAUUGUUUCUGCCAGAAACAUUGUGUCAUACAAAGUAGGUAUAUUCCCUUUUAUUCCGAACACCCAAGUAUAAGUUUCAAUAUUAACAUCUUUUGGGGUUCGUACUGUGGGUUUGUUCUUUCACGUUCAUUCUCAUCUAUAAUGGAAUUACCUCUUUCCAUUUUGGCCAAUGAUAUUGUCGACAUCUAAUAAUUGAACGUGGUUCCAAUCAACACAGCCCAUUGAUGAUUUGAGUAGCUACUCCAAAACCAAAAAUUGUCAUUCAUCAAUUCAUUAUCCCACCAUUCUCAUGUGCAUGCGCAUGCAUCAAUUAUAAGCAUUUCUUUGCUUUUGGGUACCCAAGCCACUUCAGGGGGCUUUUAUUAUGUGAGAAUGUGGAUUAUAACCUCCAAUGGAGCGUUAUUUUGCAGUAGGGCGUGGAUAAUCUCCAUUUAGGGAGUUGGAACAUUUAGAACCCAUAUAUCUGUCAUGCUGCAGGCAUGCCACAGAUUAAUACAUACAUGUCAAUUAGUUUAUGGGACUUUAACCCAUAUGAUGGGACUUUAACCCAUGUAAUUUGCUACGCAUUCGGCGUGCAUAAUCUCAAUAUUGACAUGUCAAAGGAUUGUCCAUUCGGGACUUCAAUCCACAUCAUUUGCUACGCAAUAGGCGUGCAUCAUAUUGAUCACUGCUAUACCCAUAUUCUGUUCUUAUGGGACUUUAAUCUGUGCAAUGUAUUAUCAAUGUAUCCAACUUGCAAUCUGUAAAAUUUGCAUUAAUAAUACAUGGAUACAUACAAGCCAUUCUUUUGGGACGGACUUAUCUCCCCAUUUGGUUACCUUUCAAUAUAAAAUAUCAAAUAGGUAUAUAAGCAUAAAAUAACACAAGUAUUGCUUACAUCCUUAGGUGGGAGAAACUUUUCUCAAGUAUCGCUUGAUGAUCUUGUUAUAUCCUGCAAGAGCAAAAAUCACAAUUCCUUUCUCUGUCAAAAACAAAUAAGAGGAAUAGGUAGAACCGGUGAAUUUCAAAUUAACCAUAGGAAAAUUGCGAGAUUCUCGGGAUGCUUUUGAAAAAGUAGCUCCGUGAAAUCCGUAAAGCAAGAUUGGCUUUGAAAAUAAUACUUGAAAACGCCGAAAGUGCCGACAGGCAUUAUUAGAGGCCACGUGAAGUUUUGGACUUCUAGGAAAGAAAAAGAUAAUAUGGGGAUUCGAGAAGAUAUUGGGGUCUUGAAAAACAGUAGCCAUAUUUCCUCCUAUAGAUAUGGCCUUUGCAACAAUUGCGCACCUUCUUAAACUUGCACCUGUGGUUUUUACGCCUUUUCAAAAUGACGGUUUGGAACCUUGUGCCUUAUAGGUUCAAAUAACCACAUUGUUUCUCCCAAAUUUCAUAUUUUAUCGCAUGGUAGCCCGAAACUUUUGGCCUGGGCACAAAUUCAGAAUUUAUUUGCCCUUUUCAAAUGGACAUGAAAUAUGAAUUGAGUAAAAGCCAUGAUAAUAUCGCAAUAUAGUAGUGAAGAGCAUUAACUACUAUAUACCCACAACUUCAAGUUCAGGAUCUCUCAUAUAUUUGGAUCCAUGGGUUUCCGGCCCAGAUAUAACAAAAUAUGUGGGGAGCCUCAAUUCAUCAUUUGAGGUUCAUACUGAUAUUAUCCAUUUCACGGUGUAUUCUUGACAACCGGAAUUCACAAAAUAUAUUUCUUCCUUGAAGUGUCGAUUAUAACAAAAUCGAACUUUAAAUUCAUCAUCUUCUUAUGCCAAAGAAAUAUGUGGCAUACCACAAUUUGCAAUAAUACCUCAAGGGUUGUCCAUUUAAUUGUUGGAACUUCAGGUUCUCAACACUGUUAGAUUUUGAACUUCUGGCCAAAAUCACAUAUUCUCAUGGUAUGGACAUUCAAUCCCCUUAGAUUUUGAACUUCGGGCCAAAAUCACAUAUUCUCAUGGUAUGGACAUUUUUACAAUUUUCUGUACAUAUUUCUGGACUUCAAGCCCUUACAUAAUUGUCCAUAUUUUGAGGAACUUCUGGCAUCUCAUUUAAUUGCUCAUCCAUGAGUUUAAGGAACUGCAGGUUCCCUUUUGAAUGGUGAUGGUUUACCCAAAAUGGUAAAUACUUAUGCAUACAUCACUAUUCAUGUAUACGGCACUAUUUAUGUAUACAGUACAUUUGCCAGUACAGUUAUCAUCCAUGUGUACGGCAUUAUGAACAAAUACGGUACUGUUACAUCAUUAAGGAACCCCAUGUCCUUAUUUACAUGUCAGGGAUCAAGGACCCUCAAGUCCGAUCACAUGUUUACAAAUAUAGUACCGGAGAGACUGCCAGCUCUCAUAUUAACAUCAUCAUCAAGGAUCUUCAAGUCCUGAUGUAAUUGUAUGAUGAGGAUCAAAGAACUUCUGGUCCUGAUCUGUAUACUGUAAAAACUCAUCAUACAGCACAUUUAAUCCAUAGAAUAAAUUGCUGGUAAAUAAAUUACUGGUAUGGACGAUAAACUCGCACCAUACUUUAAAUAAAUAUUGCCUUACAUACACUUACAGCAUCAAUAAUUGAUAUCCAUCCAUGAUCCACCUGUAUAAAUGUAUAUAUAUAUAUGUAUAUAUAUAUAUAUUAUUUUUAUUUGGACUUAAACAGAAACAGGCAUUUUCUAUAGCUGUAAGUAUAAUUGUACCUGCCUACGCUGAAGAUUCCUUUCAUUGUUGCAGGAUGGUGGGCAUUCAGUUUAAAUAAAGCAAACACACACAUUUCAAAUUUUAAUUGAAUUUCAAAUUAGCAGUUUACUUACAUGCCCAUCCAUGACGUAAAAAGCAGAGACAAGUGAUUGUCUUUCGACAAUGACAUGAUAUCACAGUAGUGGGGAUAACGCUAUGAUAUUGGCCGAUCGGCUUCGCUGUAUCCCUGCACACCUUUAAUAAUUAUAUAAUAUUAAAAUAAUAUAAUUAUGUACCUGCACUAUAGACCUGCAUCUUAAGCUUCUUCCCUUUAUGGGGUCUGCCGCUUUGCCUUUUGUUUCCUUUGCUUUGCUUUCCACUGAAGCAAGUUGGCCAGCACCAAUAAUGCCGCCCACAAUGCAAAAAUCAAGUUGGCCAGCACCAAUAAUGCCGCCCACAAUGCAAAAAUCAAGUUGGCUACUUUUGCCUGUUGCUUUCUCAAUUUCCUCCACCCUUUCAUUGUCUUUUCUUCUUUCACUACUUCUCAUCUUCUGCCUCUCUCUUGCCUUUUUUUUUUCUUUUUUUUUUUUUGUAUUCGAUUUUCUGGCAAGCCUCCAAAGACAGCAACGACCAAGUUGCCUUGUCAUGGCUGGCGGCCAUUGCAAAAGCCUUUUCCAUGAAGAAAUGGACUUGGACACGAGGCUGGUUGAUUAUGUAGUUGGAGAUGAAGAAAGCAGCUGACAGUCUAGGGAGGGAGCGAACCAGAGAGUUUGUUACUCCACUGGUGUGGUUGGGAGGUAGGGAUCGUCUGUGGUUGGUACAGAGUUUUCUUCCUCAGCUCAAGCAAGGCAAUAGAGGUAGGUUUGUUUGCUCAGCUCAGCUCAACCUGUGCUCUCUGUGUUUGUUUGCUGGGUUAUCUGGGAGAGUAAUUUUCUUCGGGUUCGGUUCUGGUAUGCUUUUGCAUAUAGAAAACAGAGAACCCAGAAAGGAAAUCCAAGAGAGAGACUUUGGUUGAGAAAAUGGCAAUUUUUGAGAAAAAUGGAGAUGCUGAGGUUGGUUGGACAACACCGAAUGGAAGUUGUUGGGCUCGGAGCAGAGAAUUGGUUCUCUAGAUCGGAGGUUUUGUGUGAAAUUUUACUGGCAAGCAAUCCGUGUGGCUCUGUACAAAACUGGGUUGGUUUUGGGUGGGCAAUCUGGGCUUGGUUUCGAACUGGGUGUCUUGAUCAAUUUCUGGGAUCAAGAAAUCAGAGAUUUCAGCCGGUUAAAGACUCGUGCUGAUAUCGUGUUGUAAAUGUGGAGAGAAAAAGUAGAGAAUUGGAAUAGAGAGGAGAGACUGAUUUUCUCAUUCAUAUGUUCUGAUGAAUGUCUUCAGUGUAUAUUUUACAAGUAGGGGGAGGUAUCUAUUUAUAGGCUAAGGUUUUGGUAAAAUACAGGGAAGGAAAGUUCCUGGAAGAUGCAAGGAAACUUCCUCUGUGGGCUCCACCUUCAAACUUUUACAACACAUUUUGAUUUUUAAAUUUUGUUUUAAUAUUUCGGCCCACUUAGUUCUUCUCAAAAUAUGUCAUCAAUAUCGUUGAAAGGUUGAACUUAGUGAAUUAUUAUAGUGCAGUACGGUAGAAUAAGCACAUGAUAUAAUUUGUCCACAUGUUAUAAUAUAAGUGAAUAUUUAUUGAUAUUAUUUCCAAAAAUAAGAAAUAUCAACAAUUAUAUCCUCCUAUAUUAUAAUACAUAUACAAAUUAUACCACAUUAUCAUACUCUAAUACCAUUUUAUAAUUUCUCGUACUUAGGAGGUAUAGAGCGAGUCAAUGACAUUACAUAAUAUAUAAUUGUUCAUAUAAUGGGGCAACUAACGUGAUCAACAAGUUGUGGUGAUUAAUUUAACAUAAUAAAAAAUAUACCAUUUACUUGAGUGAUGUAACAAUUUGUUCUUUUAAAUUGGAUUGCCAUCACUUUAAUAUGUUAUGUUUCUUAUUAUAGUCUCCCAUGUUAAGUGCUUCAGCAUUGUUUGUGGUGUGUACACAAAUUUUCUUAUAAAAUGUUUUAAUGCUUCUCACAUGUAUAUCAGAUAUAGACAGUUGAUGUGACUUAGAAAUCAAAUUGUCAAUAAAACAAAAAAAUAUAAUUGGUGAUCGAGGUCCAAUUUAAUAGAAAAUAGUCUUAACUUGCAUAUUAAAGGUCUUAUAUUCGAAUCCUCACUGCAUUAUUGUUGUAUGCGUACACAAGAAAUUCUCUUCCCCAAUAAUUUAGACUAUCACUUAUACUAAAAAUAUAUAUAUAUAAUGACUUUUACGAAUGCAAACAUAAAAUUACAUCAAACAAUAAUCACUACUACAAAAAAGCAAAAAGACGACGGUAAAUCACCGUCGUGUAUUGGGGUUUUCAAUGGUCGUGGAAUCCACCGUCAUCUUUUCCCUCAUAAACCACGACGCUAAAUAACCGUCGUUGUUAAAAUAUACAACGUCAUCAACAAAUACAAAACGACGUCUUUGUACUGCAAAAAGAUCUAAAAAAAGCAAUCGAGGAUGAUAAUAGACGACCAACUCUCUAAAAAAACCGUCGUUAAAAAGAAAAAAUAUGACACAUAUUAAGAGAACAAGGCCGCAAGAUAGACAUACAACGACGAAAAUAAAAAUACGACGACGUUAAAUAUAAUUUUCACGACAAUAAAAAAUAUGACGUCUUUAAAUACAUUAGAAGACGACGUUAUUGAUACAUACUACGUCGCAUAUAUAAAAACAACCGUCGUAAAAUUAAUUUUCCACUUCGAUUUUUCGAUAAAAGAUGACGUGGAAAUAGUUGUCAGUGUCAUUAUUUACGACGUAUGUGUUUAUAGAUUAGACGUUGAAAAACUAAACAACGUCGGUUACAAAUAUAUGAGAGUCGUAUUACAAAAUUUAUACGUCCUAUUUUCAGAAACAAACAACGACGAUAAAUAUUAGACGUUGUUAAACAAAACAACGUCGGAAAAAUAAAAACAGACGUGUUUAGUCUGCUAAAGUUCUAGAAAAUAGUCGAGGAUGAGAAUAGACAACCAACUCAAAAAAAUCACCGUCGUUAAAAAGGAAAAAUCUGACACAUAUUAAAAGAACAAGGCCGCAAGAUAUACAUACAACGACGACAACUAAAAUACUACGCCGUUAAAUAUAAUUUACACGACAAGAAAAAAUAUGACGUCUUUAAAUACAUGAGAAGACGACGUUAUUGAAAUCUACUACGUCUCUUAUUUACAAAAAACCGUCGUGAAAUAAAUUUUCCACUUCGAUUUUUCUAAAAAAGAUGACGUGGAAAUAGUUGUCAGUGUCAUUAUUUACGACGUACACAUUUAUAUAGUCGACGUUGUAUUUAUAUGUAUUCAUUACUCACGACGCACUUAAUAAUAUAGACGACGUUGAACUUCUAAACAACGUCGGUUCCAAAUAAAUGAGAGCCGUAUUACAGAACAUAUAGACGGCGUAGAUUAUGAUGAGAGCCGUAUUACAAAUAACGUCGUUUAAUUGUUAUUAGACGGCGGUUAUAAUGAAUUUCCGUCGGAAUUCAUUUCGUUCCUCUUCGUUUAUAAAAGAACUUGCGACGUGGAAAAUGUAUGAUGACGUCGUAUUUUUUAACGUUCAGAUUAUAUAUCUCGUUUUUAGACGUCGGUAUUAUGGGAUUGGAGUCGUGUUAUUUUGAAUUACAUGGCGGUUCUUAAUCCUUCACCGACGUGAUAUCCUGAAUAAUUGCUUCACAAUAGCGUCGUGGUUCUUCAUUGUUACGUUGCUUUAAGACGUCGGUAAAUAUGCUGAAUAACUGAUUCACAAUAACGUCGUGUUUUAUUUGAACGUAGAAAGUGAAGAAAUCACAUUACAAUAUAUUACAAAAUUAAUGUCAUACACUGCCAAUUACAUAAGCAUCAUUCAAUCCAUAUAUCUUCACACCCAUCUCGAAUAUUUUGACCGCCUAACUCACCCACCAGUUCAUCAAAUGUGUCAACAUUUGGCAUCCCUCUAGUAAAUGGCUCACACUCAAUUAUCACAUCACCUAAGACUUCAUCACCAAUAACAUCAUUAUAUUCUCUAUUAGGCAUUGAUAACACUACCGACCAACCACGAUGCAUCGGGUCGUCAACAAAAAAUAUUUGUUUGACUUGAGAAGCCAAAACAAAUUGGUCAUUCCUAUGUCCAAUUUUACUCAAAUCUACAAGGGUAAAUCCAAGUUCGUCGACUACAAGACCAGAACUAUCUAUCCAAUCACACCUAAAGACUGGGAUUGUAAACUUUUGGUAGUCAAGGUCCCAAAUUUCUUGAAUGACACCAUAGAAACCCAUAUUUGAGAGAAUUGGGUUUUUAUCCUUGGCACUAGCAACUUGCAUGGUAUGUGCAAGUAAAUAAACUCCACUAUUUUGAGUUGUCCGCACAUCAUCUUGUGCCUUGAUAUUGAAUUUAAUACCUUUAAUAAGAUAGCUCCUAUAUAAUGGCACUGACAUGUUUGGACCAGCUGCUAGCCACCUUAAAUUUUCUGAUACGCCAUGAUUGUCUUCCUCAAGUUCACUUUGAACCUGCAAAUUAAUCAUAUCUUAAUUCAAUCUAACAUAUAAAUAAGAAGAAAAUUAAAAGAGAAAUAUGUUAUUCAACAACAUAUACCUUGAAGCGUAGCCAUUGAAUGAAAGUGCUAUUGUGCUUAUCCUGCAGCCACUUUGUUCUCUUUCUAAAUUUUGGAUAAGCAGUCUUGAUGUGGAUCAUAUGUUGCCCACAUGACACGAAAAAUUCAAGCAUUACGAUCCUAAAUAUAGAAGAUAAACAUAAGAAAUAAUUUAAAAUGGAAACUUAAAGAAUAAAGCUCAUACGUACUCGAUAUAAGGUAGGACUUCCUCCGUAUUCUCCAAGACAUAUAGAUGUGCUUGAUUCAACAGGUCCUGAUCAACUACGCUCACUGUGCAACCUGAUAAUGGCUUUGAAAGCCCCAUCUUUUGGCUUGAAGGCACUCCAACUGUACUAACAUCAGAUAAAUGCUGAGUACAACACUCUACCGCUUCUUCAGCUAUAUACCGCUCAGCAAUGCAACCUUCGGGACGAGUACGAUUCUGAACAUACCCCUUCAGCACUUUCAUAUAUCUUUCAAACGGAUACAUCCACCGAAAAUAUACUGGCCCACAUAGACGAACUUCUCUGACAAGAUGUACUACUAGAUGAACCAUGAUAUCAAAGAAUGAAGGGGGAAAGUACUUCUCAAGCAAACACAGAGUAACUACUACAUCUUCUUCCAACUUAUCUAGCUUGGAAACAUCAACAGUCUUUGCACAUAUAGCAUUGAAGAAGAAGCACAAACGAGUUAUUGCAUACCUUGCAGGCUUCUCCAAAACAGAACGAAUUGCCACAGGGAGCAAUUGUUGCAUUAAGGUAUGACAAUCAUGUGAUUUAAGGCCAAGAAGUCUUGAAUCUUGUAAAGAUACAAGAUUUUUAAUAUUUGAAGAAUAACCUUCAGGGACCUUCAUACCAUAGAAAGAAUUGCAAACCUCUCUCUUCUCUACUCUUGACAAAUUCCAAGGCCCAGGAGGCAAACGAGUACGUCUUUCUCCAUACUCGGGUUGCAAAUCAGUUUUGACCCCCAUGUUCAAUAAAUCUAAUCGAGCAGCAAUCCCAUCUUUAUUUUUUCCAGGGAUCUCCAGCAAUGUACCAAUGAUACUAUCACAAACAUUCUUCUCAAUGUGCAUAACAUCUAGGGCAUGCCUUACAGGAAGGUAUUUCCAAUACUCGAGAUCAAAGAAUAUUGAUUUCUUCUUCCAACAAACUCUGUCACCAUUUUCAACCAUAUGCAGCACUUCUUCUCCGGUUAAUGGCUCGGGAGGUAUGCCAUAUUCAGGUUUCCCAUUAAAAGCUGCACGUUGCCUCCUAUAUGGAUGAUUGAUUGGUAACCAUUUUCUAUGCCCAAUGUAACAAAUUUUGUGGCCAUUUUUCAACCUGUGACUAGGUGUAUCAUCGCCGCAUAUUGGACAAGCUUUAUAUCCUUUAACAACACAACCAGAUAAGUUUCCAUAGGCGGGGAAAUCAUUAAUUGUCCACAUUAAUGCAGCUCUGAGUGUAAAGUAUUCUCCAUUAUGUGCAUCAUACACUCCUCUAAUCCCAUCCCACAAAGAUUUUAAAUCAUCAAUCAAAGGCUCCAAGUAGACGUCUAUAUCAUUUCCGGGUUGUUUAGGACCGAAAAUCAAUAAGGUUAACAUCAUGAACUUUCGUUUCAUGCACAGCCAUGGAGGGAGAUUAUAUGUAACUAAGAUAACCGGCCAACAACUAUAUCUGCUACUUAGAGAACUGUGGGGAUUGAAUCCAUCAGAUGAAAGAGCCAAUCUCAAGUUUCUCGGCUCAUUACCAAACUCAGGCCAUUUAUCAUCAAGAAGUUUCCAAGACGGGGAAUCCGCCGGAUGAGACAUCUGACCGUCAAUUGAUUUUCUAGGAGCAUGCCAAGUCAAACUCUUAGCUGUCUCAUGUGAUUGAAACAUCCUUUUAAACCUUGGAAUUGGAGGAAAAUACCACACCACCUUCGCUGGCACACCCUCUUUCAAGAUUGAAUCUUUGCCUUCCUUCCACCUUGAGAUACCACAAGUAGGACAAUUAGUUGAAUCCUCAUACUCCUUCCUAUACAAGAUGCAAUCAUUGGGGCAUGCGUGCAUUUUCUCAUAACUCAGCCCCAAUGCACACAAAGUCUUUUUAGCCUCAUACAUAGAGGUUGGUAUUGUAUUUCCUUAUGGAAGCAAAUCGCCUUGAAGUAUCAAUAAUUCUGUAAAACAGACAUCACUCAUCCCAUGUUUUGCCUUCAAAUUAUACAACUUCACUAAUGCCGAUAACUUCGUGUACUUUCUACAACCAGGGUACACUGGUUGAUCUCCAUCCCCAAUCACAUUGGCAAACUCAUACGGAUCGGAACCAAAAUCAUUAUCAUCCAUAUCAAUUUCUUCAGACACAAAACUGUACCUACUAUGGCCAUCAUCUUCUUCAACAUUUCUACUAGCAUUAGUAGUUGCUUCCCAAGGUUCUCCGUGAAAUGUCCAAUUCUUAUAGCUUUGGUCAAUUCCAUUAAAGUAUAAGUGAUCCCUUAUAAUUCCAACCCCAAACAACUUCAAAUUAACACAUUUAACACAUGGACAACGGAUAUGUGUUGUAGUUAGAAGAUUUUCUACAGCAAAGUUCAAAAAUGCUUCCACCCCAAACUCAUAUGCCUUCGAUCUUCUAUCCGAGUGCAUCAUUGACUUAUCCAUCUCCGACACUAUAACCUAUUAUCUAUAAUAAAGUGAAAAUACAGGCAAUGACCAUCACUAUAGCAGAUUAUACAAAGAUCUAAUAGCAAGUAAUACACAACAAAGACGACGGGUUUUAAACAAAAACAGACGUAUUUGGCAUAUAUAGACGACGGAUUUUCAACAGACGUCGUCUAAUAUAAGUAAUACAAACGACGGUUUAUGAAAAAACCGUCGUGUAUAAGUAAUACAACGACGGUUUUUUCAUAAACCGUCGUGUAAUCGUCGGCGUAUGCCUAAAAAGGCGUCGUGUCUCAGUUUAUUUUCAAGAACCCAAAACCCAUUAAGAACACAACAUAUAUAUGAAACCAAGCAAGAAAACAACAUAUACAUGAAACCAAGCAUGAAAACAAUAAAUCCAUUCCCAAUUCAACAUAACAUAGGGUGAUUAAAAGAUCCGACAAAAUUAAAUCCAUUCCCAAUUCAACAUAACAGAUAAUGUAAUCCAUGAACCCAUUAAACAGAAAAUCCAUGAACCCAUACUUAUAAGCACAUUAUUAACAGAUCGCAAAGCAUAUACCUAAAACCCUUUAACAAAACAACCUAAUAUCAUUCAAUGAAUUUACAAGGGGAAGAUAGGGUUUGUACUUACAGGUUGGACGAGCUCACAGAUUCGACGGAGCAGAAGUGAGAGAGCAACUUUUAAUUAGAGCAGAAGUGAGAGAGCGAAAUGUUAUGUUGCGCGAAAUCUGAAAAUUUUAGGGUUCAGGGUUAGAAGAAUAAGAAUAAGAGCCAAAUAUAAAAAAAUUUAGGACGCGUGAAAAUUUUUAGAGCGCGCGCUCUUUAAAACUUCGAAAGAAAAACCAUGGCGAAAGUUCUACAAGAACCGACAUAAAUGUAAUAUUCCACGACGGAAACACUGAACGUAACGCCGUUUAUUUUGACGCUUCAUUUUUCGGAUUAAUUUUAAAUUUAUUUUCAAUAUUUUGAUAUAAAGACGACUGAAAAACCACGUCGGGGUUAAGAAAUUGAAAACGUUGUAAAUUAUAAUAGACGACUUACAUAUUAAAAUGACGUCGUUUAAAGUAGAAACUAUGUCGGAUAAUUUACUGCACGACGUAACAUAUGUAUUCCACGACUCAACCACCGUCGUUAACAAUUAAUACCCUAAACCCUUAAAACUAAAUUAUAUAAUUUUAAAAAUUAACUUUAUAAAAGGGUUUAUGGUUUUACAGCCUAAUAUAUACCCUAGACUACCCAAAAAUUAUACUUUAAAAAUAAACCCCAAUAAAUAACAACCCUAAUCUCUAAACCCUAGACUCUAAACCCUAAACCAUAAAACUAGAAGUGAUUUUAUGACUCAUCAAAACAAUUUUGUUUUGGAUGUUCAUUUUAAAUUUUUGUAAUUCAAAAUGAAUUUUUUCAAGGUUUAGGGGGAAGAAAAUAUAUCAAUGACUUCAUAGGAGUUGACUUUGCAUUUUUCUGAUUUAUUUUAAAUUUAUUUUGAAUAUUUUGAUAUAAAAAUAAUAAAAUAUUCUUAUCACAACAACAAACCACGUCGGUGUUGAUAAAUUGUAGACGUUGUAAAUUGUAAUAGACGACUAAGUUGUUAAAAUGACGUCGUUUAAAUGAGAAACGAUGGCGGAUAUUUAACUAUCCGACGUAAAAUAUAUAUUCCUCGACUUAACCACUGUCGUUACAAAGUACUACCCUGAACCCUUAAGAAAUUGAAGACGUUGUAAACCAUAAACGACUCCAUUGUUCAAAGAACGUCGUCUAAAUAUCCUUUUACGCCGGAUUUGUUUAAAACGAAACCACAAAAAACGACGGCUUUUGACUUUAUUACGUCGUUGGAAAAUUAUUACACGUCGGUUACGCAUUUUGUAUGUUUGUUUUUGUUUUUACUUUAAGAAAACCUCAACAAAUUUUUACAUUAUAUAUUAUAGACAAAAUUUGUACAUUAUACAUAAAUAUCAAGUGUUCAAUAAUUCCCCUAUUCCAGUUGAAUGCAAACAAACUCUGCCCAUUCAUUCCGGACUUCAUCAAUUGCUUCUUGGGGGUAUGGCUCUUCCUGUUUUCCCUUCGCAUACUGCAUAAAAACAAUGACUAUUAGGGUUUAUAAAUAAAAGGAAAUUCAAUCACAGACGACCAUAACCGACGUAGUAUAUCUAUUCAACGACGGUAAUUUUACAUGACCGUCGUUGAUAAUACAAAAAACGACGUAAAAUGUUUGAAGGUUAUUUCUUCUUACCUUCUUCUCAAACCCCAAGGAAGGAUCCAUGAUGAUGUCCUUCAUGAAGCGCAUCACGUAAUACCCGCAUUCGACAUUGCUGGGUUGCUUUGGUGUGCCUGACAGGGUUUUCCAAAUGACUGCCUUACGGCCUGAUCUGGCUAUGUGGGAAUUAUAAAUUUUUAUGGCACUGUUCACGAUGUCUUUGGCCUCUUCAUCGACCACACGAUUUCCUGGCAGAGGAUCCAGAAAAUAGACUGUUUCCCUCUUUGCUCUUACAAUCAGCAAGAUCCAAUGACGGCUGCACAAAAUUAAUAUAAAAACGACGGUUAUUUACAAAAACGACGUAUUAUAAUAUUUCACACGACGAAAUAAAGUAGCAAUCGACGACAUUAUAUAUUUAUAACGACGAUAAAUAACUACCGACGUGGUUAGUCGUUUCAAACGACUCAAUAAAAUAAAACACCGACGUGGUUAGUUUAUACGCUGUCAUUUAUUGAAAAUCAUAAAAACAAAAUCCUGUUAAGGAGACUAACCCUGGAUUGUAAGGCAUGAGGAAAAUCUGUUCACCGUCAGUCUUCUGAAGUCGUGAUGCUACAAGCCGUGAUCUGUCAGCUAUUGUGCCAGAGCUGGCACUAACUGUAGCAGGGUCGAUAAAGCCAACCAUUGUGCACAUAUUUGCUUGUUUUAAAACAUCGUGUAAGUACCUAAAUAUAUAAAAUAAUAUAAACAAGUCAGCGCAAAAAAAACACACGACGGUUAUGUAUAACAAAACGACGUAUUAUAAGGUUUCACACGACGUACUGAAAUAGACAACGACGUUAUAAUAAAUUUAUCACGACGGUACAUACUAACGACGUGGUUAGUUAGUUAAGACGACGCAAUAAAUAAACCAACGACGUAUUAUUUUAGAAUGACAAACCUCAUAUAUACAGCAAUGACUGUAGCUCCUAUUUCCUCCAUGCCUGCAAAUUGUGUAAUAUCUUCAGGCAGGAGGAAGGUAUCGCGCUCUAGACCAAACACCUCCUUAUCAAUUGUAAAGUGCAGGGUCUUAUCUUGAGUUACGAGUGUCGUUUCCACAUAACGACAAAGGGUUUGUAAAGAAGAUGGCGCCUCCAUAUUUGAAUAAUCAACAACUUUAGUAACCUGUUUAAAGAAAUAAAAAAAUGACGUGGUAAUUCAAUAAAAACGACGGUUUAAGGAAUAAAAUGUCGUUUGAAAACAAUUUAAACGACGGUGAAAAAACCGUCGUGGUGAAUUAUUUAUUACGUCUUAGAAAACAAUUCCGCCGUCUAAGUUGUAAACAAACGACGGUUUAAAGAAAAAUAUCGACGUCUGGAAUUUUGAAAACAAAUAAAAAAGGUAAAGUUAUGUGAACAUACCUGGUCGUCAUCUUCUUUCUCCUUUUCAUCUUGUUUUUCUUCCUUAUUCUCUUCAUAUAUGACGUCGGGAAUGAUUAACUCCGUCAUCUAAAAACCACAAAGUUUUAAAAAUAACGACGUUUAAUGGCGUGUAAAACAAGUAAACUAAAUACGACGUGGUAUUGAAAUACAAACGACGGUUUAUUUUUAAAAUCGUCGUGGUAUGUAUUUCAAACGACGGUUUUAUUAAAAAUAACGACGUCUAAUGGUUUUUAAAAAAACAGAGAAUUCAAAGUUCAGAUAUGUUACCUUUUCUUCCUGAUGUUUCCCAUUUUUGGCAGUAUCAUCCUCAAAAUGCUGGGAUCUCACAUCACCUCCAGAGCAGCUUGCUUUGUCAGACAUUGGAUUUUUGGGACUUUGGCUAAUUCUGGGUUUAAGCAUGCUUGGAUCAAAAUUGGGAAUUAAUUGGGAAAGCUGACUCAGGAAAUGCUCCCUCUCAGCCUCUACCAAUUGUUUCGUUCUAGCCUCCAUUCUUAAAGCCUCUUCCCUUGCCUUAGCCUCCAUCUUUUUAGUCUCUUCUUGAAGGAGAACUCUUAAACUGUCCUUCAAACGGUCGUCAAAGCUCACUCUCUGUGGUUUGGGUAAAUUGAAAUAUUGCUUUGGUGAGAUCCCAGCACCUACUCCUCUGACUCUGCCUGGAUGCUCGGGGCCCAAAGCCAUGGUCAGCACAUCAUUGCUGCCAGAGACGGUGACUUUGCCUUCCGAGACUUGUUUUUGCAAAUCAUCCUAAAACAAAGAUAUAUAAAAAAGUAAGAACAAAAACACACGACGGUUAUUUAUAUACAAACGACGUAUUAUAUAAUUUCACACGACUCAAUAACAUAUAAAUCGACGUUAUUAUAAUUUAUCACGACGGUAGUUAUACCGACGUGGUUAGUUCUUUAAAACGACGAAAUUAAUAAACCACCAACGUCUUAUGUAACAGAGGGAUGAUUCAAUAUUCACACCUUUAACGACGUUGUUUAAAACAUUUCGACGUAGUAAUUUAAUACAGACGACGCGAAAUUGAACCACCGACAUCUUAUGCUAUAAUUACAGAAAACAGAGUUCUGAUUCCUAUUUAGACCUUUAACGACGUGUUUUAAAAAAUGUCGACGUGGUAAUAUCAUUCACACGACGCAAAAUAUAACAUAAGACGUAAUAAGAAUUAUUCACAGUUUAAUAAAAAUUUAAAACAGAGUGAGUAGGCUUACAAUUAAUUUUGCUUUCUCUGCCACCUUUGGAUCAGGGAUGUUACCAUGUUUGUCAUGUCUAGCUCUCUUCCAUAAGGUAGAUCGAUCAAUUUCUACCCCAGGCAUGGUUUCCUCUAAUUGAUCCUCCAAACCGGCAUAUCCUUUUCGAGACAAUCGAUGAUUGUACUCGAGUUUCUCCCUAAUCUGUGCAUGUUGAGAAUGCACAGACUCAAAAUCUUUGGAUAGCCUUGAAGCUACAAAGGCAUCCCAUUGUGCUUUCUCUAUGAAUUUAUAUGUUUCAGGGGGUUGGCUUAAUCUCUCCCUGUCAUUGGUGUAUGGAAGGAUAUAAUGCCUCGUUAGUGUAGACUUGAAAUCCUUCCAUUUCUUGGCAGCAGAAGCUAAGACAGAGUUCUUGCCCCCUUGACCUACUACAAAAGCAAUGUCAACUGCUUCCCAAAUCUGCUCCUUUAUAUCCUUGGGGAUUUGAGCCCAUUUCAAGUCCACAAGUGGAACUCUGGAGCGUGCCAACACACCAAUAUAGGACUGCAUCUCACUAUGAGCUUGGCCAAUUCCUUUCCCCCUUUUAUUGUACUCAACAAUUGGCCUCAGUUUCUGCAGUUUUCUCUUCACAACACGAGGCAUUGUGCUCAUACCUCGACCAGCCUUUGAAUCAUCAGAUAUUGUUGUCCCGCUGGUUGGUUCUGUAUCAGCAGAUGAUGAAGCAAACUUCAUCUUCUUCGAAGACUUCAUUAUCUUCGAAGACUUCUCUUGAGGAGGUACUUGCUCCUCACCUCCAUUUUUCUUGGAGCCAGAAUCCUUACUUUAGUCUUGUUGAGAAACCAUUUUUACAGACAAAACUGCAAGUGAAAAUAUUUCAAGAAAAGAUUAAGAACACAAACGACGGUUAUUAAUAAAAUACGACGUAUGAUAUGAUUUUAAACGACGCAAUGAAAUAAUAUCAGACGUAAUAAAUUUUUAAAACGAAGGUAAUUAAACAACGACGAAAUAAUUGACUACAAACGACGAGAUAAUUAACUAUAAACGACGGAAUAUUUAUAUAACGUCGUGGUAUUGAUGUUCACACGACGUCAGUAGUAAUAUACCGUCGUCUAUAUAAGGAUCCAAAACCCUUCUUUCUUUCUCUGUGAAUGUUUGAUUGCAGAUUUGAUUUUUCUGAACCAUGGUUUUUGUUUUCUAAUUUGAUAAAAUACAAGGCCAAGAAAGAAAGUUUUGGAAUCUUAUAUAGACGACGGUAUUUUAAUAUGACGUCGUGGUAUUAACAUUCACACGACGUAAAACAAUAAGAUACUGUCGUCUAUAUUAGAUACCAACCCUAAUUUCUUUUUCUUUAUAUUUUAUCAAAUUAGGGAAAAACAAAAACCAUUGUUCAGAAAAAUCAAACCUGCAAUUAAACAAGCAAAUAAAAAAAAGACUAAAAUUUUAAAAACAACUUUGUCAAUUUUCAGACGACGCUAGAACGACUGACGAACCGUCGUGGUCUACAUAUUUAACCACGUAAAUAAGAAGCUACCGUCGUCUUAUUUAGUUAAGGUAGUUGUCUUCAAAGUUGGAAACUUUCCCUCUUUGUCUGUAUAUUUUAUCGAACUUGGAAAGAAGUAAAAUGAUUUUGGCCAGAAAAAAGGUAAAAAGAUUUUUCAAACAAAAAACGUAUGAGCAUGCAAAACAGCAACCAAAAUAGUGAAAAUGAAAGCUUACCUUUUGUGUGCAAUGAAAGCAAGAGGAAGACGAUCGAUGUUUAAAUUCAGAGACGACGAAGAAGACGAGAGGAAGACGAUGAGAUACUCUGAAAGUGCUCUGACAAGGAAAAAAGUCUAAAAGUUUUCUCUGGGAGAUUGAAAUUUUUAAUCGGGUUUGGAAAAAGUGCAUGUGUAAGUCAGGUAGACGAAAAGUUGCUUAUAUAUAAAACCAUUUCAAAAAAAUAAUACGGCGGUUACAUAUAACUACGACGUAUAAAUUACAAAAUACGACAGUACGUUUAACUUCGGACGUGGUAAAUAAUUACGACAGUAGUGUUAUAGGUACCGUCGUAGUAAACUCAAAAUUAAAGUACAUAAGUAAUAACUCGCGUCAUGGUAGAUCAUUUAACACGUCGGUUUUAUUAAUGUACCGACGUGGAUUUAUGUAAUAUACGUCGGUAAUACCGACGUUGAUUUUACAAUUUAAACGGCGGUUUUUUUGUAAGGACCGCCGUUGGUUUUAAAAAUUUAUUCUAUAAAUUUGUUGCUUUCAUUCAUUUUCGGUUUACAUUUAGGGUUCCAAGUUCUUCCUCUCUCAGAGACACUAUCUCUCACAUCUCAAAGACAGUAAUUUGGAUGUCUUUCUCAAAGAGAAAUUGAGCUUACUCGCAUCAAAUCUAUGUCCACAAGAAGAAGCUUGUCAACUAGCCUUCUCACUUCCUUGAUCAAGCCUGAUAGGACACUUAGUGCUUCUGAAUACUCCUUGCUUUCCAUCAAAAGAGAUGCAAGCCUGGCCUCCACUCGCUGUCGAAGGAAAGUUCGCUUCUCAGGGAAAUCUGAAGAUCAGAUGUGCCUGAUCCUCUGCUUGAUUUUCUUGGCUAAGAAGAUCCGUCAGAUUUGUGAUAGCCUCUUCCUUUAUCCGUAGAGCUUCAGAAGAAGAAGAUGGGUUUCAAGAAUGCGAUAAAGAAUAGAAAUGGCUUCAGAUGGCCUCUAAAGCAUGAGCAAUCGAAUCAGUGCUUUGAACUAUACUUUGAACUAUACAAGUCAAUGCUUUGAACUAUACAAGUCCUGCAGAAAGAUAAAGGACCAAACUAUUAAAGAAACCCCAAACUAACACGACGCAAUAUUUGUUUUGCGACGUGGAAUCUUUUCAUUUAACGUCGUUAGGUUUAAUAUAACCGACGUGGAUUUGAAUUUUUAAAUUAUGAAUAGCAUUUUUUUUCCCGUGACCUUUCAGUUUAUUUUUCAAUUACAGUGCGUUAUAAAUAGAGUUUUUUUUCCGGAGGAAAUUUAAAAUGAAGGAAAUUAAUGUUCUGGAAUAUGUAAAAUUUCUUUUUUGGAUGACAGAUUUAAAUAAAAUAAGAAUAUAAAAACAACGACUGUUUUUGUAUUACUGUCGUCGUUUUUCGUCGUCUUAAGUAAGACUAAGACAACGUAAUAUAUUUGUUGAGCGACGUUGAUUUGUGUUUUAAACGUCCUUAGGUAUAAUAUAACCGUCGUUGAAAAUUGUCUCUCUGAUUGCAAAUUUGCAACGACGUUAGGUAUAAUAUUUGUAGAUACACAAACGCACACACAUCAUCAACUUCCAAAAAAUUGUCUCUCUGAUUGCAAAUCUGUGUCAUCUGUUAAGAUUAUGAUGUGGAACAAAGUUCCAUUUGGUAAGAUUUCGUAACCCUUGGGAUCUCAGAAAAAUCUGAUUAUGUCGGCGAUUUUCUAUAUAAACCGUCGUGGUUAUUUCAAUUCUUGUCAUUAAGUAGAUCUACCGACGUAGGAUAAGAAAAUCAAAGAAAAAAAUUGUUAACAAAAAUUCUUAUUAAGACGACGGUUUAAAUUAAAGGUAAGACGUAUAAAAUGAAUAAAUACGACGUUAAAUUUUAUAGUACGAUUUAAAGAUAACGUCGUAGAACUAUACCAGAAUGACGUCGAUAUAUUUAUAUUUUUCGUCGUUGUACAUUAAUUUAAUACGGCGAUAUUUUGUAUUUUAAAGUCGUGGAUUUGUUUGUAAUUAUACAGCGUCUUAUACGAAAACCUCGUCGUGUUAUUUUAUGAGUAAAAACGGCGGCUUUUAUUGAAAUCGUCGUCUUUACUUUCUACGUCGGUUGAUUCAUAACUUCUGUCGUUCUUUGUUGGCUUUGAUUUUACACUGCGGAAAUCUGUUUCAAAUAGACGUCGGUUGUUUAAUUAAGUACGUCGUUGUUUUUGAACAGCCAUUUGAAUCUCCAUUUUUUAGUUGUCUAAGGUGGUAUUACACGACGGUGUUUUUAGAACCGUCGUCUUUUUAAAAACCACGACGGUUUUCACUGAGACCGUCGUUGUUUUCUGGUCGUCUUUUUCACUUUUUGUAGUAGUGAAUGGAAUAGAAUGAUGGAAGUUAUUUUUUUUUUUUCCUACGUCUAAAGUAUACUUUAUAUAUAUAUAUAUAUAUUUAUAUUUAUUAUGGAAGUUAUAACCGUUUAAUUUUCAGUUUUUAUUUUCUAUUUAUUGUUUUAAUUUUUAUAGUUUAAUGUGUAUGGAGAUUUCAAGUAUUGGAUGUUUAUAAAGGGUCACUCCUCCUUCACAUCUGAAACAAACCACCAUCUCAUUUCUGUAUUUUCAUACUUUCAUAUAUUUUCUACUUUCCAGAUUAUUAUUUUUGGGCAACGGUUCUGUGACUUGGAGAUUUCUAUCCGAUUAUUAACAUGCUCAUAGCGGACCUUGAGCUUGCGUAUUGAGGAUAGUAUCUUGGAGCCUUGUAGACCUUUAUUACCUGCAUGUAGGGAGGCUAUAAAUGCUUUAAGUCAGCGUCUUUGACGUGCUUUUGCUUUCUUUUUUUUACUUAUUUCUUCGUUACUUUAUUUUUACUUUACUUUUAAAUCUUUAUUUUAUGUAUUAUUUAUAUUUAAAAAUUUUGAAUAAGAGUUUUACAGAAAAGGAAAAACACAAUUUCAAAUAACACAAAUUUCUCGUUUUUUGUUCUUAAAAAAGAAGAAGCAUUGAUUGGGGAGUUAUGGUAAACUCAGUUUCAAUGGUUGCGAUGAGAGGCGGUGGCGGCGAGGAGAGGACGAAGGCUUUGCUGCCGACGGGGUGGUGUGGGUGGGUGGAGACCUCGGCUGGCUGCUUGGUCCUGGGUUCUCCUUUAAUUCUCUGUUUUCUUUUUUCAUAUUUUUCUUUUUCUCUUAGAGUUAUUGAUGUUAAGUGAAUGGACAGAUGCCAAGAGAAGAUGUGAACCCAAUUAUAUACAGCUGAUUACAUAAAGUAACAAAUUAAUUAAUACUUGAGUGGAGGACAGGCUCGAGUGGAAGAAUUGAUUAAGGCUUGAGUGGAAGACAAACUUCAGUGGAGGAAAGUACAGAUAAGGAAAGCAUGCCACGUUUAACGGCUUUAUCUCAACAAAUUAGGAAUGCUGGUUUUGUUUCCUCGGUGGUUGAAAGGUGGUGCCUUGGCUCGGACAUCUCCCUAGUAAUUAAUCGAAGGUGGAAUCUUACAAGACAUUCAGCUGCUCAUUAGCUGAAUAUCUCGCUCUCUUUAAAGAGAUCGAAGCAAACUGCAAUUUGCAAUUUGUGUGAUUCAAGCAUGAAUAUCUGACAUAGUAACUAUACCAUUUGUUGGUUUGAUGAGAAAAGUUUGGUUAGCGAGGAUGAAACCAUAAAGUUCCCCAAAACACACAAAGAGCACGGACAAUUGCUAAGUUUAUCUUUGAGUUCACGCAUAUUUGCACAAAUGAGAUUACUCCAAGUAUGACUAUACCAUUUGUUGGUUUGAUGUGAAAAAUAUGGGCAACGAGGGUAAAACUAUACAAACACACACAAAGAAAGUGGACAAUUACUAAGUUUAUCUUUGCGUUAUUCAUCCGACCUAACUGUAAAAUAAAAAAGAUGAAAAUAUAUAAUGUUCACUACUUAGAUCUAUGAGCACUAAAGUCCUCCUUUUGGAAUUGCACAAAACGUCACUUUUGGUCUUUGACAAAUUUUUAAAAUAAAUGAAUUUUUUACUUAUUUGUGGACUGAAAUGCCUCAAAAAAAAUAAUGAUAAUUUGAAGAAUUUGAUAGAAAUUAAAAAAUAUCCUCAAAUUACUUGGAAUUGAAGACCACAUAGGCAAAAACACCACUUUGGACAAAGGCUGGUGAUAAUAGUCGAUAUCAUCUUUUGUCGGUCCGACCUAAAAAGAAGAAAAAGUUGAAAGCAUCUUGUUACCAUUUUUGCCAAUGUGGGUCCAGACAAUUUGAAGAAGUCCACCGACAAUUUCUCAAAAGCUAUUGUGUGAGUGUUUUGAAGCUAAACCAAUAUUAUUUUGCACAUACGACCCCACAUCCCCAUGUGAGGCUACAGAAGUGUUUCCAAAACGAAACAUGAUAUUUCAAAACAAAGCUAUGUAUAGAAUAGAGUCAUUUGUAUUUGCUUUCACAAUAACAUUUUAUUUGUGAAAGCAUUUUAUAUUUUUACAUUAUGAUGUUCUAACAAAUAAAUUGACUAUAUUUGGCCAACAGGGUUUAACCGAGUAAAAAAGUCCUUAUUUAUAAACUACUGGUUUCAUAUUUGAACUCUAUGACAUUCUCUUUACCCUUAAAGUUUAGACUAUCGCAUGUAUUAUAAAUAAAAAAAAACAAUUGGCUUAAUUUGAUAUAUUUCAUUUUAUGCUGGGUGCCGUUAUUAAGUUUUAUCCUUGUUUCUUGUUGAAAAAAAAUUGAUAAAAAAUAAGAAUUCCUAUAGCUAGCAACUUCUCCACCUUCCCUUCUUCGCAACUAGGGAUGCCAUUGCAAGGUCACCAUCUCAGAUUAAGUCCUCCUUUUAAAAUUGUGUUGUUAUUCAAAAUUGGAAUAUGCUGGUCAUUCUUGAUAUAAUCUGUUCCACAAAAAGAAAAAGAAAAAAGUUGAUAGCAUCUUUUACCACUUUGGCCACUUUUGAAGAUAUUCACCGACAAUUUCUCAAAAGCUAUUAAGCUGUACGUCCACAAUAUUAUUGCAUCCAACUUUGCAUAUACGACCCCAUCCCCAUGUGAGGCUACAAUAUUGUUAAAAAAAUAUGCUAACAUUGUCAUUCAGUAUGCUAACAUUGUCACUAUGUUUGCGAAUUGCAUAUUAUCUAGAACAUAAAGGCUUUGGUGUUUUGUAGAUCCUCAGGGAGCCAAACCCGUCUUUAUAAAAAUGGUCCUUAUGAUACUACUUUAACAACAAUAAAGUAUAAUAAACUAGGCCUUUGUAGUCACUGAACGAAUGUUUUGUCAUAUAUAUGACUAUUUAAAUGUAAUUACGGGAUUAAAACAUUAUAAUAAAUUGGAGUGAACCAUAACAUUAUAUAUGAUCCAAUCCUUUGCAUAUAUUUUUGUUCAAGACUUUGUUUUAGAAUGCUCUAUUACUAAUUUGGUACAGGUCUCUAAAAUCUAUGCCUUUAUGAGGCAACGUCUUUAUUUCUUUGGUUAUUCCAGUUUAGAAUAUUUGCACAAAUGAGAUGACUCCCAGCAUAAAGUCACAUUCAACCAAAAAGCAUGAAGUCACACACAAAAAGAAUACGGACAAUUGCUAAGUUUAUCUUGUAUCCUUAUUUUAUUGAUCCAACCCAAUUGAAAAAUUAAAAAGAUGAUAUAAUAUACUGUUCACUGCUUACAUCCAUGAGUAAAGUCCUCCAUUUGAAAUUGCGUGAUGAUAUAAAAUUGGAAUGAAAAAAGAAAAUCCUACAGCUAAAUUUGAUAUAUUUCCUUUUCAUUUUAUGCUGGGUGUUAAGUUUUCUUAUUUCUUGUUGAAAAGAAAAAUGAAAAGAAAUAAAUAAAUUCCACAGCUAGCCACUUAUCCACCUUCCCUUCUUCCCAUGUAGUGACAACAAGGGAGGCCUUCAAUCCAAAAUAAAGACAAGGGAUGCCAGAUCAGCAUCUCAGAUAAGUAUCCCAACCAAAACCAAUCAAAUAAUGACAUAUGUAUCUCUUUUUGUGUUUUGUUCUAUUUCUCUUUGAAUUAACUGCAUAGUUUCAUAAGCGUGUCCUCCUUUUGAAAUUGUGUAUUAUUCAAAAUUGGAAUUUGCUGAUCAUACUUGAUAUCAGCUAAAAAAGUUUCCAACAUCUUGUACCAUUUUUUUCCAGUGUGGGUCAUAACUUGAAGAAGCCCACCGACAAUUUCUCAAAAGCUAUUACCAUCCAACUUUGAAAAAUAAAAGUUUUCAAAAGUUACCCCAAACAACAGUCCUUGAAAGAGAGAGUUUUCCAAGGCUAAAGAUUACAAGGAUGUUAUUUACAGUCUCGACAACGACAAGCUUCAUAUUUGUUUACAAACCUGUAUUUUCAAGUUGUGCUAGCCUAGCUACUUGCAAAAAAUAUCCAGUUGGCACAUGCAUUAACGUGUGACAAGAAGUUAGUUAUAUUUGUAAAGUAAAAGAACGAAGUACAUAGCAUGUAAGUUGAUGCUAAAUAUUUGAUCAACAGAGUUAAACAUAAAACCACUGACAAUAUAACGUUGUUCACCAAAAAUUGCAUUUCGUUGAGGGUCAGUAGUGUAGGUUUCAAGAUACGAUUUAUUUUGUUAAAGAAUAUUCUGAUAUUCUAACAAUAAAAUUGGCUCAAUUUGAUAUGUUUCUCUCUCUUUUUUUGUUUCUGUUUUCCCUUUCAUUUGAUGCUUUGUUGUGCUAUUGCUAAGUUUAUCUUAGAGACCAGGGAUGCUUAGCAAGUUUCUUCACCUGCCCUUCUUCCCAUGUACUAACUAGGGAUACCAUGUCAGAAUCUUAGAUAAGAAUCCCAUGCUUUGUUGUGCUAUUGCUAAGUUUAUCUUAGAGACCAGGGAUGCUUAGCAAGUUUCUUCACCUGCCCUUCUUCCCAUGUACUAACUAGGGAUACCAUGUCAGAAUCUUAGAUAAGAAUCCCAACCCAAUCAAACUAUGACAUCUGUAAGUAUUCAAAAUUGGAAUUUGCAUUGUGAUAGUUGAGUGGAAGAAUCGAUUAAGGCUUGAGUGGAAGACAAACUUCAGUGGAGGAAAGUAAUUAAUUAGACCAUUAUUUGUUGGUUUGAUGAGAAAAGUUUGCUGGUGAUAGUCCAUAAUCUUUGUCCGACCAGAAAAUAAGAAAAGUUGUCUUGUACCAUUUCUGCCAGUGUGGGUCCCACCCACCCCAUGCGAGUAAUUUGAAGAAGUCCACCGACAAUUUCCCAAAAGCUUUGGCGUCCAACUUUGCCGACCCCAUCCCCAUGUGAGGCCAUAGAAAAGUUUUCAGCCACAAUCAAAUAAGGAACAGUCCUUGAAAAGAGAGGGUUUUCCAAGGCCAAGAUUACAAGUUCAUGUUAUUUACAGUCUCAAAAAGCUUCCAUACUUGUUUACAAACCUGUAUUUUCAAGUUGUGCUAGCCUAGCUAUUUGCAAAUCUUGGAAUAUUUUACUUCAUCCAAAUCCCUUGAAGUCUGCAGAGAAGAUAAAAGACAUGGCUUUGAUUGGAGAGGCUCUUAUCUCUGCUUCCGUCCAGGUGUUGUGCGACAGAAUUACUUCACCCGAGUUCGUUGACUUAUUUCGGCACAAGAAACUCGAUGAGCCACUCCUCAGGAAGCUGAGGACGACACUGUUGGCCUUGAACUUGGUGCUCAAUGAUGCAGAGGAGAAGCAACUUGUGAACCGAGAUGUGAAAAAGUGGCUUGACGAGCUCAAACAUGCUGUCUUUGAUGCGGAGGACUUACUGGAUGAGAUUGACACUGAAGCUUUGAGAUGCAAGCUGGAAGAAGGUGAAGAUCAAACUCACAAAUUUACCAAUAAGGUGCGGAACUUGCUCUUUUCUUCUCGUAGUCAUUUUUAUCAGAGCAUGAAUGAUAAGAUAAAAGAGUUACUAGCAAGGUUAGAAAACUUUGUACAACUGAAAAGUGCUCUUGGUCUGGGAGAAGUUGCUGGGAGGAAGGUUUCGCAAAGAACUCAAACAACCUCCUUGGUUCUUGAACCUUAUGUAUAUGGUAGAGAUGAAGUCAAAGAAAAGUUAUCAAAAGUUUUGCUAUCUGAUGAAGCAGGCAAGGAUCCUGUGUCUUUCCUCACCAUUGUUGGAAUGGGUGGGGUUGGCAAGACAACCCUUGCUCGAAUGCUUUACAAUGACGAUAAGGUGAAAGGGCAUUUUAAACUUAAAGCUUGGGCUUGUGUUUCAGACUACGAUGAUUAUAUUAAAAUUACUAAAACUCUCCUUGAGGCAGUCACUUCAAAGCCUUGUAACACGGCAAAUCUGAAUUUGCUUCAAGAAGAUCUAAGAGAGCAAUUGAAGGGAAGGAAAUUUUUAUUUGUGUUGGAUGACCUAUGGAAUGAGAAUAAUGAGGAUUUGAACUACCUUAGAGCUCUUUUUAUUACUUUAGGAACAAUGGGAAGUAAAGUCAUUGUAACAACACGGAGCAAAAAUGCAGCAUCUGUCAUGCAAAAUGUUCAUAUUCAAUACUUAGAACCAUUGUCGCAGGAGGACUGCUGGUUAUUACUUGCAAAACAUGCAUUUGGAAAUGUAAAGUGUAGUGCACAUUCAAACUUGGAAGAUAUUGGAAACCAAAUUGCACGCAAGUGCAAAGGGUUGCCUUUAGCUGCACAAACACUUGGGAGUUUGUUACGUUGCAAUAUGAAUUUCGAGUACUGGAAUAGAAUACUAAAUGAUAGUUUUUGGGACCACCCCUAUGAUAAAACUAACAUUCUUCCGGCUCUAGGGUUGAGUUACCAUUAUCUUCCUACUCAGUUGAAACGAUGCUUUGCUUAUUGUUCAAUUUUUCCAAAGGAUUAUGAGUUUGAAAAGGAAGAUAUAGUUCAAUUAUGGAUUGCAGAAGGUAUAAUUCCACAAGCUGAGAAUGGAAAUAGGAUGGAAGCAUUGGCUAGAAUAUACUUUGAUGAGCUGUUAUCACGAUCGUUGUUUCAAAAGUCAAGUAAAUUCAGCUUCAUUAUGCAUGAUCUCAUUAAUGACUUGGCUAUGUUCAUGUCUCAGGGGUUUUGCCUUAGGCUCGAAUAUGGGGUAUCCCAUGAAGUUAAAAGAGCUCGUCAUUUGUCAUAUGCUAGGGGAGCAUUUGAUGCUGCUCCAAGAUUUGAACCAUUAUAUGAGGCUAAAUGUUUGCGGACCUUCCUACCUACCUCUUUAAAUCCAUAUAGAUUUUAUGAAAGAUUUUUUGUAAGUAAAAAAGUUCUACAAGAUUUGUUGCCAUCACUAAGAUGUUUACGGGUGUUAUCAUUGUCACGUUAUCAAAAUGUUACUGUGUUACCUGAUUCUAUUGCAAACCUCAUUCACUUGCACUACUUGGAUCUUUCCCAUACCGCAAUUAAAAGGUUACCUGGGGUACUUUGCAAUCUCUUCAACUUGCAGACAUUACUAUUGUCAAAUUGUUCCUCACUCCAUGAAUUGCCUGCAGACAUUAGAAAAUUGAUUAAUUUACAGAAAUUGACAUUGGGCGGUUGUAGUUCUCUUAAUAAAUUGCCUGCAGGCAUGAAGGAGUUGACUAAUUUGCAUCAUCUUGAUGUCAGUGGAACUGAAAUAGUAGAGAUGCCGGUGCAAAUGGGUAGACUGAAAAAUUUGAGAACAUUGACUGCAUUUGUUGUGGGCAAAUCUACUGGGUCAGGCAUAAGAGAACUGAGCGAGUUCCCGCAACUUCAAGGAAAACUAUCAAUUUUGAAGCUACAAAAUGUAGUUGAUGCGAGGGAUGCACUGCACGCCAAUAUGAAGCUCAAGACAGAUCUCAAGGAGUUAGAGUUUUCAUGGGGUGCGCAGGAUGCUGAUGAUUCCCAAAAGGAGAAAGAUGUACUUGACAAGCUCCAGCCUUGCGUGAAUUUGGAGAAAUUAACCAUUGGAUUCUAUGGUGGAACCAAUUUUCCGAAUUGGUUAGGAGACUCGUCUUUUUCUAACAUACAAGUCAUGCAUCUCAGUGACUGUAGUUAUUGUUGGUCGCUCCCACCAGUUGGACGGCUGUCGGCACUCAAAGAGCUCUGUAUAAAAAGAAUGAAGUCUUUGAGGACGAUUGGCGUUGAAUUCUAUGGCAGAGAUGGAGCUUAUCUGACUCAGCCAUUUCGAUCUCUGGAGAAGCUAGAGUUUAUAGAGAUGCCGGAGUGGGAGGAAUGGGUACCAAGUGGAAGUGCAAGUGGUAGUGAAUAUGGUCCAGACUUUCCUCAUCUCCAGGAGCUGAUUCUAAACGAGUGUCCGAAGCUAAGAGGAAGUUUGCCUUGUGAGUUGCCUUGCUUGAAGAAGCUUACGGUGUAUGGGUGUAAGGUUUUACAUGAUGGAAGGGCCGCUACCGCAACUACCAAUAGUCUUAACUAUAAAUCUCUGGAAGAAUUGGAUAUAAGGGGUGGAUGCCAAACUCUGUUAUCAUUAUUAGAGACAAAGCUCCUGUCCCGACUUAAGAUUGAAAAUGUUGACGUACAGUGCUUGCCCAACUGCAAUCGUCUUCAACGUUUGACUCUUUUGAAUUGUCCAACGCUGUCGUCAUUCCCUAAAGAUGGCCUACCCACUACAUUGACAUCACUUACUAUACUCAAUUGUAGGAGAUUAGAAUUCCUACCUCAUGAGAUGUUGGCCAAAUUAACAUCGCUUGACUAUUUGGGCAUACAAAGUAGCUGUGAUUCAAUGAGGUCCUUACCGUUGGGCAUUUUUCCCAAAUUGACGACGCUUCAAAUUCUUGGUUGUGAGAAUCUGGAAUCUUUUUCCUUGAUUGAAGAAGAAGGAGCUGUUGAGAAUCUCAGCCAUCUCAAUUCCUUGCAAGUCAUUAACUGUCCAAAAAUGGUGUGUUUUCACGAGGGAGAAUUGCCCUUUCCCAACCUGAGUCACUUUGUAGUCAUUGACUGCGAGAAUUUGAAGUCAUUGCCCGAACGCCUUCACACCCUCACUGCCCUUCGAUCUUUGAAUAUAUGGAAUCUUCCGAAUCUGGAGUCAUUUGCAGAAGAUGGGGGUUUGCCUCCCAACCUCCGAUCUUUUAUCAUUAGGAAUUGUAAGAGACUGAGGGCACUUGACUCAGUGGGUUUGCAAGCACUUGUCUACCUUCAGAUCGAUGGAAGUGACCAUGUCUUGGAGACGUUGCUGCUCCCUACCACUCUUCACACUCUCUGCAUCUCUGAUCUAUCAACUCUGAAAUCUUUGGACGGAAAGGGUCUUGGACACCUCACUUCUCUUCAAACUCUAAAAAUUUACAGCUGUCCAAGUCUUCAAUGCCUGCCAGAAGAGGGUUUGCCGCCAUCUCUUUCUCAUCUGAGUAUCCGCUGUUGUCCUACCCUGGAGGAAAGGUAUAAGAAUAAAACGGGACAAGAUUGGGCAAAGAUAUCUCACAUUCCUUGCAUCGAGAUAGGGGAAGAAGUGAUCAUAUAAUAUGAGCUAUUCCAUAUUUCACGCUCAACCCUCAACUCUCAAAUCAAAGUCAGGUGAGGUAUGUGCCUUCUCUUACUUUAAAAAACUGCUUCUCUUCUUCUAAUUGAAUACAAAAACCAAAACACAUAUUCUCUUUCUCUUCCAAAAACCCAAAUACAUGUUGGACAUAGCCCAACGCUGUACUUUCAUAGGUACUGCAUGUAUAUUAUCUUAGUAUCAACAGGUGGUCUUAUGUGGACGAGAGAGAACAUUGAGGAAUUACAAAAUCUUCUUAGUGAAUUAAGCUUGCUUCAGCUCUGUUUGUCAUCCCUCUCAUUUUCUUUGUUAAGCCUUGGUUUUUUAUUAGGAGAUGAAUGCUUUUAUAUAUUGAUGUCGUAGUCAGUCUUCAACCACACUCCGUUUUUAGAAUUCGUUUAUGUUACUAGUGGAGUGCUGCUGUAUUUUAUAUUUCGUUCCUGUAAUGUUUGAUGUUUAGUUUGAGUAGUCUAGCUUAUCCAGUAGAUAACUCGUCCCCUGUUUUGUAAUGUUUUUGUUUCCUCUAAUGAAAGCAGGUUUUACUUAUCUUAAACUUUUAUUUUUAUUUUUAAAUAUCAGUAAUAACUGGGAAAGCUUGCAUCUCCUUAAAUUGCUCAUUCUUACAUCUUUUAUAGUUUGUCGAUCUUGGGCAAGUGGAGAGAGAGGCGUCAAGUGAUACACAACAACCAUUUUCUGUGAGCUAAUUUGAUAAUGAUAAAUGGUAUGCUUUCUUGUCUUAAGCUGUGUGUUCUGCAAUUAUUUAAAACAAAGAGUGCCGCGCUUCAAGUUCGAGGAAAACAGGUAUUUUAGGUUAGCUGUAUAAUUCGUGGUAAAUGCCUUUUUCUAAGGUUCAUUUAGACUCCUAUUACGAUUAAUUUGUUGUUUCUAAUUUGGACUUGUAGGAACAGACCAAAUAUGUUCACACGUGGCAUCGCUCAAGUCAUCAUCAUUUCCGACAGAAAAUCAGCCUUCAAGUGUCUGCUGAGUCAAUGAACCUUUCUAGAUAUAUCAAGUGCAAUGGAAAUUCAUGAGUUACAUAGAGAUUUGUAAACAUUUUGAAGAUUGCAACACCUGCAAGUGAGAUAGGUGGUGACGAAAUCAGAGCUGAUCUUGAAGCCUCUGAUGCCCCGGUUGUUGCAAGUUGCACCUGAGAACAUGUUUUUUUGGGGUAAAAAACUGGCAACAUGUUCGGAGCUGGCAAUUCAGUCAGUGAUGAAGUUGAGAAGCAAAGCUCCAGUAAGGAAAUUGGUCGAGGUCGCCACAGGGAUGAUUGAUGGUGAAAUGGAUGCUAUUUCUUAUUGCAGCCUGUUCUCAAAGUUCUUGUUGGCAAAUGCAAGAAAUGGAGUAUUUUGAUUGGAAGGAGAGAUAAUGACAUGUCUUGACAAUUCUAGAACAGCCCAUCUGAGUUCUUUUGUCAGGCUGCAUCAUUCAAUCCCGGCAAAUAUCCAGUUUCUGCUAAACAAUCA